rnacentral:lncRNA from 1 species
UCACAUAAACAUUCUUCGAAUUGUUCACAUUCGGCGGGAUGUUCUUAGCCUUGUCUCCAAGUGAAUAAUUGAAUCGGCACCGACACGAUCGGACCUAUUGCAGCCUUCGGUUGACUGGUGGCAUUCGAUGGUAUGCUUUGAGGCCUUCCCAACCUGCUCCGUGUAAAAAGGUAGAAGGAGGCUCAAAGAAUUAUCGAAGAGCGAGACGAAAGAAAAUAGCGACUUCCAGUCGGUGAUGGGAUAUCUCAAUGUUAUCGCAGAUUCAAAGGCGCAAAGAAUAUUGCAUUGAGGCUCGACUGAAAGGAGAGGCGAAUUUGAGAAGAAAGAACUAUAUCGGAUAAAUACUCAACUGCCUCAGACGUCACUGGGACAAGAGCCGGAGAUUCUGAAACCUCUCGCAGCUUCUUUGCUUCCUUUGGUCUCGAUAUUUGAACCGCCUCAAUAAACAAUAAAUAAGGGUCCAAAAAAUCAAGGUCAUCUGAAACCCUUUUUUUUAUGCGCCUCAGUCCUAUCCAUUAGAACGCCGGCCCUCACCCUUUUUCUUCUUAGUGAGAGCUUGAGCUUUAGUCUUCCGAGUUCUCAAAUUCUUUGACCCUCUGUCUCAGUAUUCGGCAGAGAUGCUGAUGUUAACAAUAAAUGCAGGCUGAAUGUUGUAUGGAAGGAUGAUCAUUUCGGCUUCUUGUAGCCAUUGAUGUUGUCUAAUGCUUGGAGAGACAUUGUUUAAUGUGACUUUGGACAAGGUUACUGAAGAUAGAACUAUCUGGCUUUAGGUCAGUUUUCAGUUGCUAAGACAGUGAAGCUCUUUCAUCUUCCUGGUAAUACUGUCCCUUGGUUCAAGCUUCUUUGGGGUAAGAAGCACAUCCCUAGUCAUGCUUUUCUUUCGUGGAUGGCUAUGAAUAAGAGUCUGAGAGUCAAAGCUAAACUGUACAAUCUUUAAGUGCUUUCGUCUUAUUUUGAGGUUUGGAAGCAAAGAAGCAGAGCGGAGUUUGAUUCCUUAUAUCAGAAAAAGAUAUAGGAAGACUCCCAGAAAGAAGAAAGCCUAGGAGCAAGCAAAGAAAGAGUAAGGAUCAGAAAGCUCCUAACCCCUAUUUAUUUAUGGAUGUGAAUUGAGCGAAGGCGCAAAGAAUAUUGCGAAGGUUAAAGAAUAUUGACUUGAUAAACCUCUAUUUAGCUUCUUAUAUCUGAAGACGAUAAAGUCAGAUAAUCAGCCUCCGGCUGGGUCGGAUCGUCCAUACCUAGUUGAGUAUCUCUGUCCGUCAUAACGAAUUCACUCUUUGAAAAAGGGUCGGGCUUUGUUGGAGUUGACUCGGUGAGUACACUUUCAUCUUUACGAGAAGAAGCGCGAACAACAACUAUAUUAUUCAGCGACAGACCUGAUUUACCCGAUGAGUGGAAUGACUCGACAAAAGUCUUAGGACUCGGGACAGACGCGCCUCCUUCCUGCUAGAACUCAUAGGUCUACGGGGUUCUUUCGGUAGCGAGAAUAGUGGUCCCAAACGGAAUAGAAGUACUUUUGAUUCACUGAAUCAUAAUCUUUGAAAGAAGAAAGGGGGACGGAGGAUCAAUGAAAUUUGAUGAUGAUGAGUAAGCUCUUGCUUUUCUUGCUCCUCUUUCUGAAGUUGCGAGAGGUUCAAAAUAUCCUUAUCAAUGAUUGGAGUGGUUGUUCCGGUUGCAACGUUGCUGUUGGAGUAGAAGUUGUAGCCCUUUCGGUGAGGUGCAAAUGCUCGACCUCGACCCAUUGGCAUUAGUUGAGGAUGCACUAUCCCUGAUUAUUUUUUAGGAGAAAGCCUCUUUCGUCGGGUUUAGGGGAAAAGACUAAGAAUGAGGUCCCCUCCCCCCAGUUGAGGAACGAGGGCAAAAGCGAAGCCUAUGAAGUGAGUAUGAGCUCGUUCGACCCCCAUGUAGCAGGAAUAGCACCAUCUUCUCUCUUUCAUGAGUAGUUCACUGCACUCAUUAGUAGCUGGACCAAGAGGUUAUUCACUCUAUGAUCUCCUGGACUGGAAUAGGCGCUCUCCCAUAGCAAGAGGGAGCUCGACGUAGUCGGUCUUUCGACAGUCACAGUAAUUGAGAGAAGCAGCUGCCCGGGAGAGGGAGGUAUCGGAUUAGGCACGAAGAGAGGAUUAGUCGAAUCGACUGUAAGAAGAGGCAUCCGUUCUUGUGGCAGUAGCAGUUGCAGAAGUUGAAUCGUCAGUGGCUGUUCUUGUUUAAGAAAUAGCUGCAGCUAUUCCCACCAAGGCCUGACGAUAGGCUGAUUUCAGGAUUUCCUAUCCAUCCUCAAAUUCUUUGAGCCUUUGUUACAAGAAAAUACUCUUUAGUGACUCAAGAAUACCCUGUCUUAUGGCACCUCUCAUCUGGAGCCUUUGUUUUUAAACAAGUCAAAUUCUCUAAUGGAUAGCCUGAAUUCAUGAAUAUUGAAUUGAACCUACUAAAAUCAAAGGAAUAAAGAAAGAGCUCAAAAGGAGUCAAAAUGAGAAGUCCGAAACCUCAUCACCUACUCCCGGAGGCAAGGUGAAAUUCAAUAUGACGAAGUCUUAUAGUUGGGUCUCAUCCCCCCAUAAUCAAGUAGCAUCCACUAAAAAGAGCGGAGCGCGGAAGGACGAGGCGCAAUUGAAAUAUGCCUGAAUGAAUCUACCCUUUUUAGAUUCGACUACUCCGCUACGUGGGCUUACUAGUAAUGCUGAAGUUUCCUCCUUUUCUAGCUUUCUUUCUAAUGCCCUUCUUUAUGGUCAAGUGUAUGGUCACUUCCCCGAGGCGCGGAUCCCACUACACGGGAAUAUAUUAUGAUAUAAUGAACUAUCUUCUUUCUAAUAGCUGGUUUCAACAGCCACCGGGGAGGAGACAAGAACUCAAUCUACUGAAACAAGGUUUCAACCACAGCGAGAGCAUACCUCAAAAAAAUAAGGAAGAAAAAGAUAAAGGCGCGAAGCAAAGCCUAUGAAGUCAUAAGGGCAAGGGCUUUCCGUGAACUUUCUUAUGAUGGGAAAUCCUUGUUUCAUUUGCGAGACACAUUUCAUUCGUAGAAAUACCACUUCCUACUUCCUCAUCCCGACAAUAAAGAAAGCACUACGCGGGACAAAGUAGAUUCCCAAACUAAAAGGAAAGACUAAAAUCAAAGCUCCAGAUGAGUUGAAUUGAGGUGCAAUGAAAUAUGCCUUUCAGCAGUGUGCGAAUUCGCUCUUUCGGCUGAUAACCUUUCGAUCCAGAAAGCACUACGCGGAAGUUCCCCACUACGCGGCGCGAAGCGACUGCCCACUUUUUGAAAAGAAAUAAAGAGCGCAGAACAAGGUUCAGUUAAGCUUGAUAAAUCAGUCCUUCGCCUAAGAAUAAGGUUCAAAGAAUAUUGAACUCAUGAAAUCAAUAUCCCUGUCUUAUGGGGCCUUCGUAGCUUAAUAAUGGGGAUCUGGUUCAAUUAUAAGGCUCAAAGAAGAUUGAGAAAGAAUAUUGCAAAAUCAAGGCGGCAAAGAAAAGGUGAAUAUGGAUUCGUACGAUUAGACUUGACUGAGAAUGGAAUUGCUUUAGCUAUCUUUUUUUUCCGUCUUUCAAGGUGGAAGCUAAAUCAGAAUAGUUUCUAGUUGAAGGCAAGCAAGCUAGGGUUGGUUCGUAUUGACAAAGAGCUGGACUUCUAAACUUUCAAUGGGUACUGGAGUACUACUUUGUCAAUCGAUGCUUAAUACUAUCUUUACGCAAAUAAAGGCCGAAGAAUGAGGCUAAGUCUUCUAUUUAGUGGUCUCGCUUUGCACCUUGCUGAUCUCAUUUCAAAAAUGCUUCGCCUGCCUCUUCUUGGAUUCCGUGCACGAGUAAGUACCCGUAAAUCGUAAAGAAAGAGGGGGGGUAGUUACCUGCUCUUUCAUCGAGAUUGGCGAAUUACGGUAGAAGAUAGAAGAGGUUCGAGGAUCAAAGUAUUUGAGCUUUGCUAUUACUUUCAUGCUCCUCUUAGAAGGAAGAUAAGCACGAUAAGCUGGCCUAUAUCAUUGCUUAAUUCAUGCUUUCUUCGUACUUCCGGAAAGAAAUCUCACUCAUUUCAUUCUAUCACAUAAUGAGAACUCUAGAAAAGAAAUUGCUUACUUCAUGCUUUCUUCGUAUUUAUUUCCAAUCCAUCUUUUGUCUAUGACGAUCGGUACGAAAGGAAGGCAUGCUCGCAGGGGAUUCUUAUUACUAAUAGAUGAUAAGAUAAUACGAGAAUGAAAGAGGUCGAGCGCCUCACCUCUGAGUCUGAUUGUUGGAGUAGUCUGAUGACUCCCACUGGUCGUCUUUCAACUCAUUAAAUCCCCUAUCUUUUAUGGCGGUCUUACCGGAAUAUCUACUUUAUAGAAUUCCUAUGAGACUAAGAAACAAACUGAGACCUCGUAGUCUUCCUGUUCCCGGUCGAUCCUAUGAUCGAUCUCAUACAAAGAUCUCAUCUCAUCGACUAAAAAGACUCUUUCUUCUUAGUUUGAGCUUGAGGCGCGUCCAACCCACUACGCGGUAAGCUUUUCCUCUUUUCCUCUCACUUCAAGACUCAAGACCUUACCCGCACCGAGUCAAUCCGAUCGCUACCUUUCCGGGUCGUAUUCUAGUAAUUAAUUUCAUUAAUAACUCAGAGCGGCGAUCUAAAUACUUCUUCAGCAAGAACUUCGAAGAAGGUAGAGGAACUGAAAUGGAUUCACUUCCGCAGGCAGCAUCCCUUUCAACGACGACUCCCCGAGAGACCCGCUUCAAACUUCCGAUUUAGAAAGAAGGUAUCUCAGUCUCUUACCGCGUAGUGGGCUGAUCGUGAGAGAUGGAAUCUUCAACCUCUUAUGGAAAUGUGUCCAGCGGAAGUAUUUACGUAAGAAAUUGAGAACCAGGCGAGAGGAGAGGGGUGAGGAUCGAGCGCAUUCCCUAUCGAUCAGCAUCCUCAACUCUACUUCAGAGCUAGAAAGGUUUCGGAAUUCAGAGGCAAGAGCAUUCCUUCCUCUUCUUUAGUCAAGUCAUUUCAUUCCAUUUCUCACUAGGUCUAUAGAAAUAGUUCAUGGCCACUAGGUCUCGUCAUAUUUUUUCUCAAGAGAUGAGAAGAAAGUUCCUAAUAGAAUAUGUUUGAAUAUCUCAACUAGAAAGUCUCGGAUUAACUCUUCCCAUAGCGUAGCCGCGGCGGAAAAGGAAGAUUUUCAACAGUCAAGAGAUCAAUCAGAAGGGAGCGGAAGAAUGGAUAUUGUCUUCGAUCUUGCGAUAAAAUGAGUGAGACCAUAUGCGAUCUGUCUCAAACAGAGAAUUAGUAAUCUGAGUCGCAGGGAAUAGGUUGAAUAGUCCGGAGGACGGGGAGAAGAAAAGAGAGGUUCCGAGGUUCAAAGAAUAUUGGACAAAGAAUAUUUCAUGAAUUGAGGUGCGGUAGUCCGUCCGAAGGACUAUGAAAUCCAUUAGUUUUCGUUUGCACUCCUUUCUUCUUUUCUUAGAUAUUCUGGGAUUGAACUCCGUCUGAAAUCUAGCAGAUUCAUUUUUAGCUUCUUUCAUUCUCGUUAAUGAGCACUUGAACUGUCUUUCUCAGGCGCAAAAAAUAUUGCCGAGAAGAGCAAAGAAGGAAUGGCGAUCAGAAUUGAGUCCUUUCAUACUUUCGUUGAGGAGGAGGAGUUUUUUCUUGUAUCAUAUUAGGAUAUUUUAGUAGAAUAAGAAGAAGAAGAAGAUAAGUACGUAGCGGGCUUUUCUUAUGGCGGAGCGGAGGAGUCCGACUAUCCACUGAAGAAAGUAGGAAAGCCUAAGGAACCUAAAAAGGGCUAAUAGGGGAAGGAAGAAAGCCUAUCCCUCCAGAAUCUUUGAGGACCGAAGGACUUCUUUAUAUCCCUAUUUAUUUAUUUAUGGGACUCCCAGAAAGGUUUAGUUCCAUAAAUCAGUCGGCUAAUAUAUAGGAUGAAAGUAGAUAGAGAGGAAAAGAAAAAAGUCGUCACUCUUAAGGAGUGCAAGAAGGAAUCUUUGAACCUUUUAUCCUGAUCUCUCUCAUUCUACAACUCAGUCGAGCCACUAUUCAACCUUCUUUUCGAGGGGACAUCAUGUCCUCUUAUCUUAAUCCCAUAAAUCAUUUAAGGCGAUACUGAAAGAAGAAAUCCAGCAACUUAAUCCGGUAGAGUCAAUUCGAGACUAAGACGAGUUGGGGUUUCGACCAUAGGCUUUCCUUCCAAACCUACUAUACUAAACCUACCCCCGGACUCAAGGCGCGAAGUGAAGCGGCUGCCCACUUUUUAGAAAUAAAGAGCUGAGAUAAUUCUUUUCACUCAUUGAGGUCGGCUAAAUUCAAUGGAUAAAGAAGUCCUUUGCUUCAUUCUAUAUGUCCUUAUCAAUGAGACCAUUAAUCAGUCCGAAGGACUAUCCAAAGAAAAGAAUAUCCCUGUCUUAUGGGGCCUCCGUAGCUUAAUAUGGAGCGCUCCGGACGAGUCUUAACUAAUAUUCCCAAUCAAAGAAUUAUCGAAAGAAUGAUCGACGAGUCUUAUUCCACUAAAAUAGUAGUCCUUCGGAGCAGUCUUAAUACUCCUAAAAUCAAAGCUCCAGAUGAGUUUCAUUCCACUAAAAGACGAAAGAAGGUAUCUCAGUUACCAAAGAGAAAGAGCUUCCACAAACCACUUCCACAUAAACUUCUGCUAAGUCUACUUCUGUUAUUGAUUCAACUUAGCCUUUAAUCAGAUUAGGACCUAGCUAGCCAACCUUAUUCCUUCCUCUUCCUUACUUUGUUCUCGCUUGCUUCGGCAACACAUCUUUGGAUACUGGAUAAGCUGCAAGAGAAAGACUUCUUCCGAUCGAUCAGCUACCCGAUUCCUCCUUCCCCGAUGAUAAGGUUAGCAGGCCCGAUCCUCUCCUAUUGAAAAAGAAAGCAGAAAUCUUUCAGUCCAGAGUAUUUAUCCGUAGCCCGGAGGAUUUAUCCGUAGGACCAUCUGUAAUUAACCGAAGUAGUCUGCAGUCUGAAGUCCGCAGGAUUUAUCCGGAGGACUAUCCAUUAGAAGUAGGACCAUCCAUAUGGAAGGAAGUAGUCCAGAAUCCGCAGUCCGCAGGAUUUAUCCGUAGGACUAUCCAUUUUCAGUCGGACUAUCCAUAUGGAAGGGAGCGAAAUCUAGCUAUGAGGACUCUUUGAGCUCUUCUUUGAGUCAGUGGCUGCCCUUCCAGAAGGAGCAGCGAAGUCCGCGGUUUCAGAGGUUUAUGUAGCAGUUCUUCUUUAAUAAGAUGCUUACUUUCUUUCGGGUAGAAAGGUUCACUCGUGAACGCACUACUACAGAAAUUGGUUUACUUGACGUUAAUACAAUGUCAAGUAAAUGUAUACUUGACGUUUUUAAAAGCGUCAAGUAUUCGACUGUCAAGUAUAGUUACAUUACUUGACACUAAAAAACUGUCAAGUAUACGUUUACUUAACACUGUAUUAACAUCAAGUAAUCGACUGUCAAGUAUAGUCACAUUACUUGACACUAAAAUAUUGUCAAGUAUACAUUUACUUGAGACUGUAUUAACGUCAAGUAUUAUAUCAUACUUGAUGUUUAUUACGUGUCAAGUAAGAUCAUACACAUGACGCCUUUUACAUGUCAAGUAAAGUCGUAUACUUGUCAAUUUUUGCACUUCAAGUAAGAUUGUAUACUUGACACUAUGUAUCCGUCAACUAAGAUGAUAUACUUGACACUAUUUAUCCGUUAAGUAAAAUAGUAUAUUUGAUUCUAAGAUAGUAUACUUGACAUGUAUCUAACGUCAUGUAUACCAUUUAUUAAUAUAUUAAAUAUAUAAAAAAUUUCAUUUCCUGUUUUCUGUAUUACGUACAUUCAUUUCAAUAAAACAUAUUCAUCGACAAAAUAAACUCUCCAACUAGUAGUUACACAAAAAAUAAUUUAGUAUAAGUAAACCAACAAUAAUUUUAUUACUCUCAACAACAUCGUCAACAAUUACACAAUUCCAAUCCAAUAUAGUCAACUAAAAUUUCCUAUAUGUGGCCUAUUCCAAAAUCAACAAAAUAAUUAUCUUAUAUAACCAAAAACAUGUGUGGUAUACCAAAACUAAAAUCUAUCCCUUUACAUCUAUUGCAUGUACAUAAGCAUAAUAGCUAUGAACGAAACAUUUACAAAAAAAAAAAAAAAAAGUUAUGGGCAUUCCCAUAUAUUAGUCAUUCACAAAAUUAAUAAGAUCACAUCUAAGGAUGUCUAUCAUAUGUACAAAGCUAAAAAUUUAGCCCACUCCGCUCAUACUUCAUCCAAUUCAAGCUGUGAGUAGAAACUCUUGUAUCAGUCUAUAAAACAUAAAAAAUCAAGUAGACAUUUGUUAAAAAUAAAAAUUAAUCAGAUAAGUAACUUAUUUCCAUCAUAAAAAAAUAAUCCCCUUGUAAAAAAUUCUACAUUGUAAGGAGGAUAUUGUAAACCUAAACAUGAAUAUUUAAACCUAUAUGAAACUAAGUACAAACAUAAAUUAGAAAACCUACACUAAAUAAAUAUUGUUAAUGCUCAAAAACAGUUAAAAAUUAACUUAAAGAAUACCGUAUAACUUAAGCAAGUUUCCCAGAUCAUAAUACACAAGAGUACCUAUUCAACUGAGUUAAGUGCUUCAACACCUCCCCGCAUCUGCAAAGAAAAACAUUACAAGAGUAAAGGGAGAGACAAAAAAACGAACUUCCUUUGAUCUUCUUACAACAUUCACAUUUAUCAAGCUCCACUAAAUCACUAAUAAACCAAGAGGACACUAUUGCUUACCUAUUUAUUGCAGAGAAUCUGGGUUCAAGACAAAAAGAACAAAAUAAUUAUACACCAAAUAUUUUGAAGAUUAUUGAAUAGAAAUGUGUAUAUUGUUCACGUGAAAAUUUCACCUACCAUUCUGCAAAUCAAAACAAAUUCUUUGAAUGAAACCAAAUCAUCGAUGAACUCUCACCACCCUGAAUAAAAAACCAACGAAAUCAAUCAAAGAAAACAAAUACAUUGAACUCAAAAAACAAAAAAGAAAAACUCUCAUCCUCUAACAUUCAGUAGUGAACGAAAAAGGGAAGAAAAUCAGAGGGGGGCGGCUUUUCGGUGAGAAGAAAAUCAGAAGGGGGCGUGUCCAGUGAGGAGAAGGGAGAUCGAGAAGAACUCCAGUGGUGAAGAAAUUCGGUGGGGGCCAUUCCACGUGAAGAAAAUCAAAGGGGAAGGGGGCUUUUCGGUGAGAAGAAAAUCGGAAGGGAAGGGGGACACGUUCGGUGAGAAGAGGGGGGCGAGAAAAGAAAUUUGGUGGAGGGUCGUCUGACGUGAAGAAAAUAAGAGGGGGCUUUUUAGUGUGAAAAAAAUCGGAAGGUUGCGUGUGAUAAGGGAAGAGAGGCAGCAUGUGAGAGAAAAUAGGAAAAAGGAGGGAAAAUGAAAAGAGGGAAAGGGUUGGGGAAAAAAAUUUGGGAAAUAAGUUAGGUUUUUUUAGAAAUAGAGAAAAAUGGAAAAUUUAGAGAAAAAAAGAGAAAAAAGUUUUAGAACUUUAGGAUGAAAAAAAUAAUUGGAAAAAAAAGGGAAAAGUUUUUUUUUUUUUUUAGAAAAUAGAGAAAAUAUAUAUUACUUUUGAUAUUUUAAUAAGUUUAUUGUAAUAAUUUUAUUUUAAUUAAUUAUUUAAUGAAAGGAGGGAAAUAAAAAGUAUUUUAUAUUUUUAUACUUGAUAAAAUAAAAAUGUUAACUAUACUUGACGUUAUUUCUGCAUCAAGUAAACAUUAACUAUGUUUGACGUGAAAAAAAUGUCAAGUAAAAGUUGAACUAUACUUGACACUAAAACACCGUCAAGUAAAUUCGACACUAUACUUGACAUGGAAAAAAUAUGAAGUAAAAGCUAAUGUAAGAUAAUUAAAAAAUUUCAUGAAAAUUUUGCUUUCUUUAAACUAUACUUGAUGUUUUGUUCGUGUCAAGUAAAAGUUCAUUAUACUUAGCGCAAAUAAAACGUUAAGUAAAAUCUCCCUUAUACUUAACGAGAAAAAAACGUCAAAUAAAAGCUAACUUAAAAUAGUUUGAAAAAUUUCGUAAAACUCCACUUUUUAAAAACUAUACUUGACGUUUUUUCUUUAAAAUGGUCAAUACUUGACAUUUUUUUAAUAAAAACGUCAAGUAUGUAAAAGUACCUAGUGUCAAGUAAAGUAGAUUUUGUAGCAGUGACGGUACACCUCUUAUAUGAUGCCUGGGGACUUUGUCCCUUCUUCUACGGAUUUCUCUUAUAUGAUCUUAUUCAUCUCCGUAUCGUUCAUAUAUUCAUUCUAUAAAAUCCCUAGCUGCCACAGAUGGUCGAACUUGCCUCUUAAGUGGCGUGGGUCGAUCCUCUUGUUGACUUUUACCUAGGAGUGGGGGGAAGAAGUUCGAGAAUAAUUUCUCUUCUUUCCCUGUCCCAGUUCUUCUUUCCACUUCUACUUAAGUCACCACGACUGAUACAGAUGCAAGAACAUCAGGGCGAGCAGGGAAGAGGCGGAGGGAGUUUGCACUUUUUCAUGCGGGUUUGAGUGAGACUGAUGCGCCCUAGGUCAAGCCAUUGCUUCGUCUUGUUCAUCACAUUCAUUAUGUUCACAAUUCCGGAAUCAAAGUAGAAAUACGAGAAAGCGCUCCAGCGGACUCUAAUUCAUUGGGAAUUCUAUCUUCCCGCCUCAAUGAACAAGGUGAAAAGAAUAUUAAAUGAAUCAUUGAGUUAAGGCGGUGGAACCUAGGAGUGGGACCGGGAACAUGAUAGGCUUCAAUCUAAGAAGUGAAUAUAGUAUUGAAAGAGGCCCACGGAGCGAUGUCCGACUAUCCUACUAUCGAAGCCUUGAAGCAUGAGUCUUGAGGUUUUCAAAGUCUACUCAGAGGACGAGGUUGAAGUUUCAUAGGGAAAGGUUUCAUAACAAGCAGUUGUUUUCCGUAUCGAAUGCUCUUUCAUUCCUUAUUCGAAAGAAGGCAAAGAAAGUGGAAACUAAAUCCUUGGAUUCUUUCCCGCUUGAACCAUGAAAGGUUAGGCCUUAGUUACGAUCUCAUUCAAUGCCCUAGCAUACUCAAAGGUUCGGGGCGUAGUGGAUGGAGCUAGAAGACUACUACUUGGACGAGGGAUUUCCUUUCUCUUAUUGUAAUACUCCUAACCACCCCUUUUUGAAUGGGCAGGCCCCUCUGGUCGAGUUUACCCUUUUUAUUCAGGCCUAUCUGCCUCCGUUCAUGAAGGACAAAAUCGGAUUGAGCCCUUGUUCAUUGAGGCGUAUAAGCCCACGUAGCGGUGCCAUAAGACAGGUCUGAAGGCGUCACAGGUCCGGAGGACCCGUCUGUCCGAAGGACGAGAUAUUUAUAAUGUUGAGAGAAAGAUUAGACUUUGUCAGGACCCUUAUUUCCGUUAUUUUUCACUUUCAAUAUUCUUAAGAAUAUUCAUUCAUCCGACAGAGCAAAGUUCAUCCAGAUCCCCAUAUGAAUUAGGCGAAGGACUGAUUUUCAAAGUCAGAGCUAUCCCUCAAAUUCUUUGAGCCUCUGCACUCAAAUUCUCUAAUGGAUAGUCCUUCAGACCGCUAGGAGUAAAGAAUAUUGUGUGGAACUGAACUAAUAUGGAAAAAGCAUUUCCUAUUGAUUUCUCCCCUGGACUGGACCUAUUCUGAUUCUGAAUUAUCCGUCGCUACGUUGUUCCCAUGGACUAGCAAAAUCGAAAUAGCGAAAUUCUUGGGUCAUCUCAAUGGGUUCAGAAACCACACGUUUCUCUGGAUCAUCAUAGCGUACUUCCACAUAUCCACUCAGAGGAAGGUCUUUUGUAAUGGAUGACCCUCGAAACCAUAAUAUGUUGAUAUACGGCGUAGAUCCGGAUGAUUGAUGGAAGAAACACCAAACAUAUCCCAAACUUCUCGCUCCCACGGCCGGCUGAUGGAAAUAGACUGACUACCGGAGAGAUUCGUGUUACUUCGUCUGCACUGGUUUGUACACGAAUGCGUGAGUUAUACCGAGUACUCAGUAAAUUAUAGACCACUUCAAAUCUGAGUUUUCUAUAUAUAUUUAUAUUGAUGUUAAUAUGUUACCUUGUAAUUGGAAUGGUGAUUUGAAUAAUCUAAUAGGAUUAUGUGUUUGGAUCAAAAUAUGUUGCAAGAGAAAUAGCUAAAUGUGUGGAUUUAGUGACAAAGAGGGUAUUCAUGUGUUUAUUUUAGUUUUCUCAGUGAGGACUCGAUUUUUAGAAGAAACGACCACUGUUCGAAUCAUUCAAAACUUUGUUCCGAACAAAAAUUUUGGACUUUGUCAUUGUCCUCUUCGUCGAAUGUGACAAACUUGAAGACAACGAUGAAACAUUGAAAGAUUACUUGGAUCGAAAAUGUCCUGUGGGGUUGAAAGAUACCAUAGCCGCUAGCAAGAACUGUUGCUUGGUUUUCAAUAACAAAACCGAUAAUGAAACAAAGAAGAUUGAAUAAGUGGAUAAACUUAUAAAGAUGGUGCAUGAAGUUGUACAACAAAAUGAAGGAAAAGCAUACACUCAUGGCUUGUUUUCUAAUGUCAAGUUUGAGACCAAGUUGCAAGAUGAUGUGAAAACCAAGCUUGAACACACAAUUACAGUUCAAAACACAAGCAAAAUUUAAAGCAUAACAAGGAGCACAAGAACUUCAACAACAAUCUAUUGAUCAAAUUCGAGUCCUCAAAGACCAUCUAUGCAUCAAGACUUGAAAGGUCACUGUCACUACCAAUGCUUCCACAAAUUAUUCGUCAUGGUCGCUGCAUGAGAAAAGGUUGCAUUAUUGUAUGACUUUACUGUGCAUGCAUUCAAUAAAUAUGUACAAGUAAUUAGUAUAAUGAAUAUAUACUAAAUAAAAAUAUGAAAAAACUGUGAAAAAAAACUUAUUUGAUUAACUGCUAUAAAAAUUAAUAUUUGAAAAUUGGCAUGUGUUCUCGAAACUAAUAAAAGCAAGUUUGGAAAUGCCUUUAUUUUGUCUUUGUUGAGUGUAGUGUAAAUUGGCAAAUAUAGAAUGCUUAAUUAUGUUGUUAAUUAAUAGAAAAUUAUUUUAGAAGUUUUGAUGAAUGUCCAACUACAUGUGGAAAGAAUUAUAAAGGAUUGAAAAAUGAUUCUAUAAUCUAGCCCAAACAAGAGGUGGGUUAUUAUAGCUCACUUCACUUCUAUUUAGUUUGGGACCCAAAUAGCCUCUUAAAAUUAGGUUAACUCCAUAACUAAUAAGGGUCUUUAACUCAUAUAGUCUAAAUGCUAUAUGAUAUUACAUGAAUGAUCCAAAUUACUAAUAAAUUUCAUAAAAGUCCUAAAUGGACUAGUAUAUUACAUAAAUGUAGGCUCAAAUUACUUUAAUACCAAUUUAUAUUAUUUAAUUGAUUUAUAACAAAUAUCUAAAUGAAAAAAACCGUGGGAUAUAGUUUUGGAAAGAAGUGGGGUCCAAAUUAAUUUAAUAUCAACUUCUAUUAUUUAAUUUAAUUGAUUUAUAACAAAUAUCUAAAUGGAAAAAAUGGUGGAACACCGUUUUGGAAAUAAGUGGGGUCCAAAAUAAUUUAAUACAAAUUUUUAUUAUUUAAUUGAUUUAUAACAAAUAUCUAAAUGGAAAAAAUAAAGAGAUACAGUUUUGGAAAGAAGUGAAAAACUUUUCAUGCUUUCCUACCACGAAAAUGGUUGUCUACUCCUUUCAACGUGGAUUACGAUUUUUACUUCAAAAUUUUAGAGAGUUCGGAGGUGAAGAAGAAGACAGUCGACGACCGACAAAUACAAAACUUCUCGAACAUAAUCUAGUUAAAAACUUUGAAGUUAGUAUUGUAUAUAUUCAACACAUAUGAAACAUUAGAUAUAUUAUGUAUAUUUUAGAUAUUCAAUUAAAUAGUCAAUCAAAUGAAAAUGUAGUUUUGAAUGUGAUACAUUUUAGGGUUUAUUGAGAUUUCGGCGGUGAAGAAGAAAACUUUUGAUGGCCAAAAAAUACAAAACUUAUCCGACAGAAUCUAGCUAGAAAAUUUGUGCUUAAUAUUAUAUAUAUUCAAAACAAAUGAUUAGAAACAUUUAGUAUAUUAGGUAUAUUUUAAAUAUUCGAUUAAAUAGACAAACAAAUGAAAAUAUAUGAAACAUUUGGUAUAUUAGGUAUAUUUUAAAUAUUUGAUUAAAUAGACAAACAAAUGAAAAAUUAGUUUUGAAUGUGAUACAUUCUAGAGUUUAUUAAGAAUUCAACGUUGAAAAAGAACGGUCAUCCUAUCAAAAAAAUAAUAGAACUAUAUAUAUAAUAUGAGGUAUAUAUAUAUAAACAUAGAACAUAACUAUUAUAGAUUACGGAUAUAUUAAAGUAUAAUGUAAUCAAAUACAUUUAUAAAGGAAAAAUAUGUAUGUAUGAUCAUGUCGUUUACUACCGUUUUAGUAAUAUUUAUUCUACAAACACAAAUUAUGUAGGAAUUAUGUAUAAGGUAUUAUUGUAUAUAAUAUGAGGUAUAUAUAUACUAAAUAACAUAUAUGAAUUAAAGUGUAUAUUUUAUUAGUGAAAGGUUCUUAUAUCAAUUUGUUUAUGAUUUUUAUUUAAAUAUUCAUAUAUUAUGUAGUAAAUAAUACGUUAUGUUUGAAAUAAUAUUGAUUAUGUAUUAAAGUUGCCCAUUAGACAGUUUUUUAAUAAAAUAUACCUAUUAUAUUAAUAUAGAAAAUGGGAGGAAAUCGUGCAACAUUAAAAUAGGAAACUUCUUUACCAUUUUCUCACUUUCCAUAUUCAACGAAAAGCUUGCCAUUUCGACAGUCAAUGACAUAUACAACAUAUUAUAUAAUGCGAUAAUAUUAUAAAACUAGUAUAAUCAUAAAUAAGAUGUGAUAUAUAUUUAAGGGAAAUAUUAAAAAACUGAUAAAUUCAUAAUAGAAUAACGUUAAAAUAAGGAGAAUAUUGUUAAUAUAUAAUAUAUAUACGCAUAUGAUAUACUCAUAAUGAACUAAUUUUAAAUGGGUAAAAUAACAAAUGACAUAUUUAUGUUAUUCUUCAUAUAAAACAUCAACUAAAAGUAUUAUAUCUCACGGUUAAUAUAUAAAACUAUUAUAAAUGUAAACAAGAUGUGAUAUAUAUAUAUAUAUAAUAAAUCACAUAUACAACCUAUUAUAUCAUCCGAUAAUAUUCUAAAAUUAGUAUAAUCAUAAAUAGUAUGUGAUAUAUGUUUAAAGGGAAUAUUAAAAAACUGGUAAAAUCAAAAUAGAAUAACAUUAAAAUAAGAGGAAUAUUGUUAAUAUAUACUAUAUAUACGCAUAUGAUAUACUCAGAAUGAACUAAUUUUAAAUGGGCAAAAUAACAAAUGACUGUGGAUUUUAUCUUAUCUUCAGGUGAUGGACAAUUGUAUAUGACGGCGAUUUGUUAAGAUUCUGCAGCUUACGGUUAUGAUAAAUUUGAAUACAAAUUUAUAAAACAAUGUAAUAAGAAGUUCAAAUGAUGGAGAAGAAUAGCAAAAAAAAGCUGUCGGCGAUGGAGAAGAUAAUGUAAUGGCUGCCAGAGAGAGUGAACAAUUAGGUUAAGUUAUAUUUUUAGAAAGAAUAAUUAAAUAGUUUAUUACAAAAUAAAGUAAAAUUACAAUUAUUAUAAUAUAUUCUGAUUUAUAAUUAAUUUAAAAGAUACUUGAAAUUAUUAACAUAUUAAGGUCUUUUGUUUAAAAGUUUCAACUAAUAAUAAUGAUAGUUCUCAUUAACCAAUUGACAAAUGAUUGAUAUUGUCAAAUAAUCGAUAUUGUCAAAUGAUCGAUAUGUGCAAGUGCACAUUUCAAUUAUAAUAUAGUAAAACGUUCUUAGAGAUCGAGCUAGUAUCCUUUUAAGAGGGAUCAAAUUAACAAAUUAAUUUAUUGAUUUUAGGAUUAGAUGUGUUUUAAGGAUAAAAACAAUGAUUAGAAACUAAUAAAAGAUCCCUAAAAGACAAAUAUGAAAUCUCAAAGAAUAAAAAAUGCUCCAAAAUUGUAUUUGAUUUCACUGUUCAAUCCAUAAAAUCAUGAUGUGUAUAGGUUAUAUGAAAACUAGUGUCAGUAUGUGUUCAGCUCAAGUUGUUGACUUUUGAAAAAAAUAUCUUUCCAUUCAAACAUAUACAUAGUUUGGUUGGUAGUUUUUCUUCAAAAUUAUUAUUUUGAGAAAACAAAUACAAUUUCUUUUUUAGGUAAUCCAAUAUCCUCGAGUAUAUUUAAAUAUGGAAAUAUUAUUUCCAUAUUAGAAGAGAUACUAAAAGAUCUUAUUAUAACAUCAUUAGAGUCCCAUCAUUUUCUCUAAAUAUCUCUUUUGUGGUGAAAGAUUUGGAAUUGCACAUCAAUCAUUUUGGAAUGGGUAAUUGAUCACCCUAUUUUUCAAAAAAUAAGAAAGAUAAAAAAUAGUUAUUUUUUUUAAAGAUAUAUUUGAAAGUGUUGAGUUUAUGGAAGGUAUUAGUACUUAUACAACCACAAACAUUUGAUUUUUGUUAUCUAAAUUAUUUUAAUAAAAAUGUUUUUUUUUUUUUGAAGUUUAUGCUUAUUAAAAAUGCUUAUUUAAAAAAUGUUAAUGAAAUUUUAAAAAAUAAAAUCUAAUUAAACACUUCUGAGAUAGAGAGGUUUCCCUUGACUACCCGAGCGUAGAUAAACACUUCUGAGAUUUGGUUGGUAAUCCCAAGUUCGUGUGCAGUUGAUUAUUUUUUAAAUUUUGUAUAGUUGAAUAAUAUUUGAAUUUUAAAUUUUCAUCUAUGUGAUAUUUACUCAUUUCAAACUUUUUGAAUAUGCAUGUUUAUUUAUUAUUCUGCCGUCUCUCUAUUGUAUUUUAAAAUUUAGAAUAUGUGUAUUUAUAUUAUUUGAAAUUGAAAAUUUAACUUUUGCUCUUACAGUAGGCUUUAACUCUUUGUUUGUCCGUGUUGUAGGUGAGAGAGAAGGAAAAGUUCCAUUGUUUGAUUGAAUUGGAAUUGUUUCGUGCAUGGGGUGUCAUACAUAAUUCCACUUAUUACUAGUUGAAGGUCUUCUUUGCCUCUGUCUUCUUCCCCAUCUCCCCAAGUUGUUCUAACCUUUUUAUAUCUACCUAUUACAUGUCAAAAGGUUGUUUCGCUCUUCAAUGUUUUGAAACAAGUUCAUUAUGAAAAUCUCUCACAAGCAAACGUCAUGUGCAUUAUGAAUAAUUUCAUCUCAAAAAAAUUGUUUGAGAGGUUUCAAAAGUGUAUCGAAACUAAUAAUUUUAAUGAAUAAAAAAAUAAUUCUUCGUUAGAUUCUUACAUUUUAUUUCAACGAAUAAAAUUUAGGAAAAUUUUUAAAAAUAGCAAAUUUUACAAAAAUAUUUACAAUUUAUAACAAAUUUAUAGUCAUUGAUAUGCUAUAACGAUAGUUACUAGUAAAUAUUUUAAUUUAUUUUGUUAUUUUUAAAAAUGCUCAUAAAAUAUUAUAGUGAGGGAACAAUGAUGAAUCACAUAGUUUUCUUGUGGUGAUGUCGCUUUUUAUCCCUCUUUACAUUCUAAAAUCUCAAAUACAAAUCAUAAAACAAGUAGAUAUACAUUCAAUUAACAUGAUUUUGAUUCUAAUAAAUUAGAAAGACAAAAAUAACUAACUAAUUAUGGAAAAGUAAUAUUUUAACAUGAAUUAUUGAUUUUUAAUUAGAGGUAAUUUUAAAAUAAAUAAAAUAAAAGAAAAUAUUACAAAUCAAAUCUAAACUAACUUUGAUUUUACUUCUUUAAUUGCAAUAUAACAUAGAUACAUUGGCUAUGAAGUGCAAUUUCUUAUAUUAUAAUAUUUAAAAGAUUUAAAUUUAAAAAUAAAAAUAAGUAAUCUCAAGUCCAAUAUUGGACCUGUGGGGCUUAGCCCAUCAAUUUAAAAAUUCAAAAUGCACACUCAACGGUCACAUUUUCCUAGGAUCAUCCUAUUUAAUGCCCUUCUACUUGUCAACUCCAUCGAAAUCCUUCAUUUCUUGUGGCACCGUCUAAAAUUUGCUUCGAUUGAAGAAAUUUUGACGCCCAUGACAGCGUUGAAAUUUCUUCAAUGCAAACAAAUUUUUUAUCUUCCUUUCAUCGAGGAUUUUCAUACCAUGUGAAGGAGAGAUCAGUUCCAUCAGUUCCAAGUCGUUCGUGAGUCAUCUUCUUUCCUGUGUAGUUUCAUCUCUUGAUUUUGGAUUGCUUGUUCAAGAUUUAUUUUCGAAUUUUGGAUUGUUUGCUAUUCGGAUAGGCAGAAGGUUUGCACGAUGAUAGAUCUGGAGUACCUGAAUCGUUUAUUGAUUCUGUAGUUUAAUCUUAUGAUUUUGGUGAUUUCGAAGCGUACAAUAUAAUCGUACUGUGUUAUGAAGUAAAUAAGAUUUUGUAGGGUUUUUGAAAGUUAAUUUAGAUAUUUCCUGCAUUUUAGUCUUGAUAGAUCUGGGUACCUGAACCGUUCAGGUUUGCAUGCUGUGAUUGUGUUGUUCUUUUUUGAUUUUGGAGAGAGUCCUUGGGUAAUUUUGAGGAUUGUUCUUUUUUUAGUUUUUUUUUGCAUGCAUUCAAACACACGCAUGGUUUUUAAACUGGGGUUCUUGAAUAUUUGUUGGUUUUCUCGAAUAUUUGCCGGUUUUUUUUUCUCAGAAGAAUUGAUCUUAUAUUUGUGUAUCUCUCUGUGCAACUUUAAUAUAAAGUUAUUAAGGAAGAAGAGAAAGGAGGAAGAAGGGAGAGAGAAAAGGUAGAAACGACCUAAUAGUAGGCAUGAGUAUUAAGAUGCAGCAGAGCCACCACUUAGUGGCGCUAAGGUUUAAUGAGCAAAUUGACAGUAGAAAAGGGUCCACAUCCAUACCUAAGUUACUAUUGCUCUGGGUUCUGUUGGUGGCAUUCAUUAGUAUGUUAAACUACAAAGAAAUGGAUGGGUGGUGUUAACAAAGUUAGAAGAAAGUAAGUUCUGGGAAGUAUGUGUGACCAGACGACAAAGAUGCUUCUGCCUCAACUUAGUGUCAGUGUCAAACUAUGUCCAGGCUUUGGCCAUUCUCAUUUCAUUUCCAGUACUUCAAAAUCGUAUCAGCAAUUGAUCAGGAAAAUGUGUUUCGAUUUCUGUCUUUUAUUAGUCUCGGUUAGUUAGGCUUAAGAGUAAGGGAUAUAAUUCAUUUUUCUUGUUUCAGCUAGAAAUUACGUCGAUGUCUUGAUUUUUAGUUUUUUUAGGGCUGUUUGGUUGUUUUUUUAGGGGUGUUUGGUUAGUUAGGCCUAAGAAGUAAGGGCUAGUGAAAGAGAAGCAUUUGAUUGUCCUACAAGUAUCUGAAUCGCCAAUGAAAGCAGAGGUUAUUUCCUCUGAAUUUCCACGAAUUGUUCAGGUUUGGAUUCUGUGAUUGUGUUGUUCUGUUGUUCUCUUUUUUAUUUUGGAGUGUUCUAGGAAAUUUUGAGGUUUGUUAUUUUUUAGUUUUUUUGGCUUGCCUUUAAUCACGCUCGUUUGGGAAUAGACAGGCUUCAGAGAAUGAAUCUCCUUUUUAAGGGUUCGUUGGGAGCGAAGUGACCAUAUGGCAUCCCUUUCUGCACCUGCUCAGUCUCUCUCUUGCCUUUUUCAUACUACAUAUUUUUGUUUCUCAAUUUAGUGUCAGUGUCAACCAUGUCUAUGCUUUGGCCAUUCUCAUUUCCACUUUCCACUACUCUAAAAAUGUAUCUGCAAUUGAUCAGGUAAAAGUGUUUCAAUUCUCUGUCUUUGGUUCAUCUCCGUUAGUUAGUCUUAAGAGUAAGGGAGAUAAUUCGUUUUUCUUGUUUCCCUCCAUGUAUUGAUUUUUAGUUUUUUAGGGAUGCUUGGUUGGUUUGAAUGCACGAAACAUUUGCUGGUACACGAUUCAAACAGCUUGCCCAGUCAUGUUUUUCUAUUUUUUUUUAAUAUUUUGGAAUUUUGCAUGUGUGAUUUCUGUAUAUAUUAUUCUUGCCCUUUUCCUUUAUCAUCAUUUAUUUUGAUUUUGGAGAGGUCUCUUGGUUAUUUGUUAUUUGCACAUAUACAAGGGUUGAAAAUUUCAAUCCCACCUCUCUUUUAUAUUACAUUCAUUUAGUUUUGGCUGUUAUCUAAUUGAACUAUUUGAUCAUCAAAUAAUUGUGUUACCUUUUCUUCUAGAUGUUUAGAUUCAUUUUUCUCACUAUUUUAGUUUUCUUAAUGUGUGACAGUCUUUGUUUUUUAUUGAACUAUUGUGUGGCAGUCUUUAUUUAUUGGUUAUCUUUAGUUUCACUAUUGUUCUUUUUUUAAUGUUUUCUUAGUUUUUAAUAAGUGUGACAAAAUAUGAAUUAAUUUUUUUCUUUGAACAAAUGUGGAAUUUAUUUUCUUUUAAUGUAGUUGUGUCCCCAAUAAAUUUAUUUUGGCGAUUUAACAAUCCAUCAUGUUCUUUUUCAUUUUUCUGUUGUAUUUUCUUCGGUUCUUUGUUGUGGUAUGUCUAUUUUUGAGACAUUCUUAAUUUAGUUUUAUUUCUUUUAGCUUCCUGCAUCAUUUUGUAUUAUGGAUUGUUAUGAAAUUUUGAGAUUAUGCUUUAUUUUGUUUUUUGGUCCUUUGCUGUGAUGUCUUUUGAUUAUUUCUUUUGAGUGAACAGUUCAUGUAAGAUUUUCUGCAUGAGAAUAAAUUGAUUAUUUAAUUUGGUCAAAGAAGUUCAAAAUUUACAUGUGAAAUUUACACUCAGUGGCUGUAAGGUUUAAUGAGAAAAUUGGAAGUAGAAAAGAGUCCACAUUAAUUCAUUCAGCCAAGAGGGCUUGGCAUCCUAAGUUUGCUCUGGGUUCUGUUGGUGGCAUUCAUCAAUAUGUUAAUCUAUUAGGGAAUGUAUGGUUAUAACAAAGUAAGAAGAAUGGAAGUUCUGGGGGAGUAUUUGUGACAAGAGGGCAAGGAUGCUUCUGCAUCAAUUUAGUGUUAGUCAAUCAUGUCUAUGCUUUGGCCCUUCUCAUUCCACUUUCCACUACUACAAAAAUGUAUCUGCAAUUGAUCAUGUAAAAGUGUUUCAAUUUUCUGUCUUAGGUUCAUCUCAGUUAGUUAGUCUUAAGAGUAAGGGAGAUAAUUCAUUUUUCUUGUUUCAGCUAGAUGUUACCCUCCAUGUCCUGAUUUUUAAUUUGGCUUCCUAAGUGUGCUCUAGGUUCUGUUGGUGCAUUCAUCAGUAUGUUAAUCUACAGGUGAAUCUAUAGUUAUAACAUAGUAAGAAGAAUGGAAGUUCUUGGGGAGUUUGUGUGACAAGAGGGCAAGGAUGCUUCUGCAUUAAUUUAGUAUCAGUGUCAACCAUGUUUAUGCUUUGGCCAUUCUCAUUUCCACUUUCCACUACUCCAAAAAUGUAUUAUCUGCAAUUGAUCAGGUGAAAGUGUUUCAAUUUUCUGUCUUUGGUUCAUCUCAGUUAGUUAGUCUUAAGAGUAAGGGAGAUAAUUCGUUUUUCUUGUUUCAGCUAGAUAUUACUCUCCAUGUCUUGAUUUUUAGUUUUUUAGGGGUGCUUGGUUGGUUUGAAUGCAGGAAACUUUUGCUGGUACACGAUUCAAACAGCUUUCCAUGUCAGGUUUUUCUAUUAUUUUUCUUUAAUAUUUUGGAACAUGUGUAAUUUCUGUAUAUAUUAUUCUUGCCGUUUUCCUUUUUCAUCAUUUAUUUUGAUUUUGGAGAGGGUCUCUUGGUAACUUGACUUUUCUUUUAGUUUUGACUGUUAUCUAAUUGAACUAUUUGAUUAUCAAAUAAUUGUGUUACUUUUUGUUCUAGAUGUUUAUAUUCAUUUUUCCCACUCUUUUAGUUUUGUUAAUGUGUGACAGUCUUUGUUUUUCAUUGAACUAUUGUGUGGCAGUCUUUAUUUAUUGGUUAUCUUUAGUUUCACUAUUGUUCUUUCUUUAAUGUUUUUCUUAGUUUUUAAUAAGUGUGACAAAAUAUGAAUUUAUCUUUUUCUUUGAACAAAUGUGGAAUUUAUUUUUCUUUUAAUGUAGUUGUGUCCCCAAUAAAUUUAUUUUGGCGAUUUAACAAUCCAUAAUGUUGUUUUUCAUUUUUCUGCUGUAUUUUCUUUGGUUCGUUGUUGUGCGAUGUCUAUUUUUGAGACAUUUUUAAUUUAGUUUUAUUUCUUUUAGCUUCCUGCAUCAUAUUGUAUUAUGGAUUUUUUCGAAAAUUUGAGUUUGAUCUUGUUUUCUGGUCCACUGCUGUGCAGUUUUUUUUUAUGAGAUAUUUUUAUUUAGAUUUAUUAUCUUUUAGCUUGUUUUGCAUUUUGCAUUAUAGAUUAUUUUUUAAAAUUUUGAGGUUGUUUUUUUUCUUUGAUCUUUUGUUGCGGUGACAAUUUUAAUUUAGAUUUAUUAUCUUUUAGCUUGCUUGCAUUAUGGAUUGUUAUGAAAUUUUGAGAUGAUGCUUUAUUUUGUUUUUUGGUCCUUUGCUGUGAUGUCUCUCUAUAAGACAUUUUUAAUUUAGGUUUAAUAACUUUUAGCUAGCUUGCAUUGUGGAUUGUUAUGAAAUUUUGAGUUUCUGCUUUCUUUUGAGUUUUGGUGAUGCCUUUUUACGAGACAUUUUUAAUUUAGGUUAAUUUUUUAGGUUGCUUGCAUUUAUGGAUUGUUCUGAAAUUUUGACUUUCUGCUUUUGUUUUUUAUGUCAUUUGUUGUGUGAUAUUCUCUUUAUAAGAUAGAGAUAUUUUUAAUUUAGGUUUACUAUUUUUUAGCCUGCUUGCAUUUGGUAUCAUAUAUGAAUUGUUCUGAAUUUUGAGUUUCUUCUUUUUCAGUCAUUUGUUUGCGAUAACUUUUUAUAAGACAGACAUUAAGAUUUAUUAUUUUUGGACUUGUUUGUAUUUUGUAUCACGGAUUGUGGUUUUUUAAAUUCAGAGGAGGAACUAGAAAUUGUUCUUGUGAUAUGUUAAAAUCUAGUUUACUGCAAAGAAUGAAUUCUAAAACAGAGGGUAUGAAUUCGUCAAUAAUUUUUCUCCAUUUCUGCGUUGAGCAAUGUUUAGCUGAUAUGUUUGUGUAUUCUUUACAUUAGUGCAGCACCACAUGCUAAUUUAGGUGUGAAAUGCUAAUUUAGAUGUGAAACACUUCCAAAGAUGACGAGAAAUCAAAGAUUGUCGUAGUAAAAAACCUCACCAGUUUUUCCUUUCAGGUUUUUCUUUUCUUUUUCUUUAAUAGUUUGGAAUUUUGCUGGUGUGAUUUCUGCUUUUCUCUUAUCAUUUAUUUUGAUUUUGGAGAGCAACUUUGGUAAUGUUAAGGUGAUUUAAGAAAAGUUGGUUGUCCAAGAAUCAAUAUUUUUAUAUUACCUUAAAUCUUCCUAAGACAUGUUGGGUCUUUCUUUGGCCUUUGUUAGUGUCUUCUAUUAAGUCUGUUAGUUUCACUUUAGUUGGGUCUUUUUUUAAUUUUAUUUUAUCUUUUAAAUUCCAAAUCCUACUCAUUUGGUCAUGACGAUUGAAUAAUCAUUGUUAAAUUUAUUUCUUGUUGGGAGUGUAGAUUUUAUUUUCUUUUUGGCCUUUGUUAUUUGCAUCUAUACAGGGGUUCGAAAAAUUCAAACCCUUCCCUCUUUUAUUCGACAUUCUUUUAUUUUUAUUAUGUACUAUUGGAUUGUUAAAAAAAUUGUGUUACUAUUUCUUACAUUCCAUAAAGAACCCUUUCUGAUGGAUUAUUUCUUAUUGAACUGUUUUAAAAUUUUGAGUUUCUUCUUUUUCUUUUUUGGGUCCAUUGUUGGGGGAUGUACAUCUUUAAUUUUUUUUUUUUUUUAUAAGAGAUGAUACAUCUUUAAUUUAGAUUUAUUAUCGUUAGCUUGUUUUGCAUUUUGUAUUAUGUUUUUUGAAAUUUUGAGUUUCUUCUUUUUCUUUCUUUGGUCAUGUGUUGUGCGAUGUUAUUUGCAUUAGGGGUGUUUGGUUGGUUGUUUUUUAGGGGUGUUUUGGUUAGUUAGGCUUAAGAAGCAAGGGCUAGUGAAAGAGAAGCAUUUGAUUGUCCUACAAGUAAUAAGCUUCUCCUCAAUCAUUCAACCAUUUUUUUAGUAAAGAAAGAGGCUUCUCCUUUGGCAACCAAAGUCCGUCCUUGGUCAAUAUAUAUCAAAAUAAAUAAGAUCCAUCUUUGGUAAUUUUUUAAAAAAUUAAAUCUAUAAAUACUCAUUUCAUCUCUAAAAUUAUGUGAUUUGUACUUUCUAAAAUUCCCUCGAUGGUACUAAUACACUCUUAUAUUUGUAUUGUAAUUAUCAUGUCCUUUUUCUAUGGUUUUUUAAAGUUAAUUUAGAUCCUUAUUCGCUCUAGGUAUAAGUUGAAUGGAAGAGUUUUUUAGCCUUGAUAGAUCUUGAGUACCUGAAUCGCCGAUGAAACAGAGGUUAUUUUCUCGGAAAUUCCACGAAUUGUUCAGGUUUGGAUUCUGUAAUUCUGUUGUUCUUUUUUUAUUUUGGAGAGUGUCCUGGGUAAUUUUGAGGAUAUUAUUUUUUGUUUUUUUUCGGCUUGCAUUUAAUCACGCGCGUUGGGGAAUAGACAGGCUUCGGAGAAUGAAUCACCUUUUUAAGGUUUCGCUGGGGAGCGAAUUGGCCAUAAGGCAUCCCUUUCUGUUCAGUCUCUCUCUUGCCUUUUUCAUACUAUAUGGUUGUUGAUAUGGGGUUAUUGAAUGAUUGUUGCUUUUAUUUUCAUAAGAAGUGAUCUUAUAUUUUUGUCUCUCUGUGCAACUUUAAUAUGAGGUUAUUAAGGAAGGAGAUAAAGGAGGAAGAAGGGACGGAGAAAAGGAAGAAAUGACUGGAUUGUUGGGAUGGGUAUGAAGAUGCAGUAGAGCCACCACCUAGGGGCUGUAAGGUCUAAUGGGCAAAUUGAAAGUAAAAAAGAGUGCAUCCAUUCAAGCUAAGAGAGCUUGGGUUCCUAAAUUACUAUUGCUCUGGGUUCUGUUGGUGGCAUUGAUUGGUAUUGUUAAUCUACAAGGGAAUUGAUGGUGUUAACUAAGUUAGAAGAAAGGAAGUUUUGGGCGUAUGUGUGACCGGAGCACAAAGAUGCUUCUGCAUCAAUUUACUGUGAGUGUUAAACUAUGUCCAUGCUUUGGUUAUUCUAUUUUCUACUUUCCACUCCUCUCGAAAUGUAUUAGCAAUUGUUCAUGUAAAUGUGUUUCGAUUUCUGUUUGAUACUUCUCAGUUAGUUAGGCUUAAAAGUAUAGAAAUUAUCUUGAUGUCUUGAUUUUUAGGGUUUUUUUCAGCGGUUUUUGGUUUUUGGUUUUUUUUUUGUUGGAUUUUGGCUAGUUAGGCUUAGAGGUGCAAGGACUUGUGAAAGAGAAGCAUUUGAUUGACCAACGAGUAAUUAGUUUCUCCUCAAGCAUCCCACCACUUUUCUAUUAAAGAAAUACAGGUACGUCUACGCUAUUACUUUUCAUGUCCUUUUACUUAAGAUAUUUAUAUAAAUAUAUAUAAAAAUAAAUAAGAUCCAUCUUUGGUAAUUUUUUUAAAAAUCAAAUCUGUGAAUAUUCAUUUCAUCUCUAAAGUUUUGCGUUUUGUUACUUUUUAAAAUUCCCUCCAUGUUACUAUUACACUCCUAUAUUUGUGUUGUAAUUAUGAUGUCCUUUUUCUAUGGUCUGUUAAAGUUAAUUUAAAUCCUUUCUUGCUCUUGGUUUAUGUUGAAGAAAUGGAAGAGUUUUUUAGCCUUAAUAGAUCUGGAGUACCUUAAUCGCUCUUGCAUUUUGUGAUUCUGUUCUUUUUCUAUUUUGAAGAGUGUCCUGAGUAAUUUUUAGGAUUUUUAUUUUAUAGUUUUUGUCGCUUGCAUUUAAACACGGACUUGGUUGUUGAACUGGGGUUCUUGAAUAAUUGUUGGUUUUGUUUUCUGAAGAAGUGAUCUUAUAUUUGUGUAUCUCUAUGUGCAACUUUAAUAUGGGGUUAUUAAGGAUGGAGAUAAAGGAGGAAGAAUGGAGAGAGAAAAGGCAGAAAUGACUUAAUUGUUGGGAUGAGUAUGACCCCAUGUCUAGUAGUUCCCAAGUAUGAUAUAGGAAGGCAGAGAGUCAAGGCCUUGUCUGACUCUAAUAGAAUUAAGUAGCUAACGCAACACAAUAUUCUUUGCACCUUCAGUCUGUGAAUCUGAGGAGCAAGAGUUUGGCCAGAGGAGCUAGUCUCGUAACUACGGGCGCAGUUCUAGUUCUUUACAAGACAGAUGGGAACUGUAGCUAACAAGUGUGCCCUGAGUGGAUUCCUACCACUACUCUUUCUACUAUAUUGGCAGGACGGGUGCCAAGUUAUUAGUAGCUAGGCAGCUAAGCCAGUAGUAGUUCAGUUCAGGUGCUGUUCCCAAACCUAGUUGACUACGUUGUAGCGUAGCGGUACGGGACAGAAAAAGAAUUGAUAGCGGUACACUGAACACAAAGAAAUUUGAUAGACAUAUGUUGAGAGUUCGACAAGUAGCACUGAAUCUACUAUCAGUAGUGAUUUAUAGAAGUUGACUCGCUUAAACGAAGAGAGUGAACAAAGCAUAGCGGAGUGAAGAGAGAAAUGGUUUCAUUAGAUAGCUCUCUCGAUGUCCUUGUUAUCUUUCCUAGGUAGAUUGUGACUUAUUCAUUCUUUCUCGCUGACUCUAGUUUCCCCGCCGUGGAUCCUUUCUCUGUUAGGCGCUGUAAUUUAGAAUUCAGAAACGUAUCUGUCUUAUUAUCUUUGAGUCAAAGCAAUGUUACAUAUUUAUAUAGAUAAUAAGCUAAACCCUAGAGACUAUGUAAAAUUACAAUAAAGGACAUAUGUAUAUAUAUAUAUAUAUCAUAACACUCCCCCUCAAGUUGGAGCAAAUAUGUCGAUCAUGCCCAACUUGUUGCACAGAUAGCUUAUCCUUGUUCCAUUUAAAGCUUUAGUUAGAAUAUCUCUCAAUUGUUCUCCGGUCUUCACAUAUCCUGUGGACACCAACCCAUCUUGGAUUUUCUCACGAAUGAAGUGACAAUCCACCUCAAUAUGUUUAGUUCGUUCAUGAAAUACUGGAUUAGAUGCAAUAUGAAGUGCAGCUUGAUUAUCACACCAUAAUUUAGCUGGCACGGUAAUACUGAAGCCUAUCUCAGAUAAUAGUUGGUGAAUCCAUACUAUUUCACACACAGAUUGUGCCAUAGCUCUAUAUUCUGACUCAGCACUCGAACGAGAAACAACAUUUUGUUUCUUACUCUUCCAUGAAACUAAGUUUCCACCUACAAAAACACAAUAUCCAGAAGUCGAUCUCCUAUCCUCACGAGACCCCGCCCAAUCAGCAUCAGAAAAACAUUCAACUCUCGUAUGUCCAUGAUCUUUGUAUAGGAUCCCACGUCCAGGAGCAGCUUUUAGAUAACACAAAAUCUGCUCUACUGCAGCCCAAUGAUCCACUGUAGGGGAAGACAUGAAUUGACUUACAACACUUACAGAAUAUGCAAUGUCUGGUCGAGUCACUGUUAAGUAGUUCAACUUCCCAACUAAUCUCCUAUAUCUCUCAGGAUCUUUACAUAAUUCUCCUUCUUUAACAAGUUGCUGAUUUGGCAUCAUUGGAGUGCCACUUGGUUUGGUGCCUAAUUUUCCUGUUUCAGACAACAAAUCAAGUACAUAUUUUCGUUGAGACAAAUAAAUACCUUUCUUGCUUCUCAUCACUUCAAUGCCCAAAAAAUAUUUCAAUUGGCCCAAAUCUUUUGUAUAAAACUGACCCUGAAGGAAAGUUUUGAGAGACGAAAUACCCAAUGCAUCAUUUCCAGUAAUAACAAUAUCAUCAACAUAUACAACUAGUAGAACUAUACCCUUCUCAGAUCGGCGAUAGAAAACUGAAUGAUCAGAUGUACUCUUCUUCAUACCAAAGCAUACAAGGGCUUGACUAAACUUACCAAACCACGCACGAGGACUCUGUUUCAAACCAUACAGAGAUUUUCGAAGGCGACAUACUUUAUCACUCUCCCCCUGAGCAACAAACCCUGGUGGUUGUUCCAUAUAAACUUCCUCUUGAAGAUCACCGUGAAGAAAAGCAUUCUUAAUGUCAAGUUGAUGCAACGACCAUUUAUUGGUAGCAGCCAUGGAAAGAAAUAGGCGAAUGGAAGUUAACUUGGCAACCGGAGAGAAUGUAUCUGAAUAAUCAGUGCCAUAGAUUUGAGCAUAACCUUUGGCAACAAGGCGAGCCUUUAAACGAGCCACUGUUCCAUCAGGAUUCAUCUUGACAGCAAACACCCAUUUACAACCAAUGGCCUUCUUUCCUGCAGGACGAGAUACCAAAUCCCAAGUAUCAUUAUCAUCUAAAGCAGUCAUCUCCUCAAUCAUUGCAUUUUGCCAGCGAGGAUGAGACAAAGCUUCAUGAACAGAGUUAGGAAUAGAUGUGGACUCAAGAGACGUAAUAAACGCAUAUGUGGAGGGAGAUAACUGGUGAUAGGAAAUAAAGGAAGAAACGGGGUAAGUACACUUGCGUUUACCUUUGCGAAGAGCAAUGGGAAGAUCAUCACUUGGCGCUGGAUCACAUGAUGAAGGAAGCAUUGAUGGAGGACAUGAGUCUGAAGGUUGUGGUGGAGGUCGUCGGGAGUAGACUUGAGAAAUCAACGGGCGGGAAGGAGGCACAUCAGUAGACAAGGAUGGUGUGGGAGAGGUAACCUCAUAUAUAAAAAGAUUGUCAUCCUCCCCCUGACACAAACUCGAUGGUGAUGAAGUAAAGGGUGUAUCUUCAAAAAAGACAACAUCAGGCGAAACCAGAUACCUUUUAAGGGUAGGACAAUAACAACGAUAACCCUUUUGAACACGUGAAUAACCCAAGAAGAUACACUUCAAGGAUUUGGGAUCUAACUUAGUAUGAUGAGGACGAACGUCACGAACAAAAGACACAACCAAAUAUCUUAGGAGCAAUAGGAAACAAAUGCUUGGUAGGAAAAAGAACACGAUAGGGAAUCUCACCAUUAAGAACAGAGGAAGACAUUCUAUUAAUCAAAAAACAAGCUGUAGAGACAGCAUCAACCCAAAAGAUUUUUGAAACAUGCAUUUGAAACGAUAAAGCACGGGCAGUUUCAAGUAAAUGCCUAUUUUUUCGCGCAACACCAUUUUGAGAUGGAGUGUCAGCACAGGAAGAUUGAUGAAUAAUGCCAUUUUCACACAAGUAAGAGCCAAGAGAAUGAGAAAAAUAUUCACCCGCAUUAUCAGUACGCAAAGUUUUGAUAGAGACAUUAAAUUGGUUUUUUAUUUCAGUAUGAAAGGCACAAAAAUGAGAUAAUAACUCAGAACGAUUUUUCAUUAAAUAUAACCAAGUUAGACGAGAAUGAUCGUCAACAAAAGUAACAAAAUAACGAAAGCCUGUUUGAGAUACAACUGGACACGGACCCCAAAUAUCAGAAUGAACUAACUCAAAUGGAGCAAUUGCUCGUUUAUCGACUCGAGGACUCGAACUAAGACGAUGAAAUUUCGCAAAUUGACACGAAUCACAAUUUAAAGAGGACAAAGACCUAAAUUCUGGAUAAAGUUUCUUCAACACGAACAAAGAUGGAUGACCUAAACGACAAUGGACUUCAAAAGGAGAGGGAACGACAGGACACGCCACAGCUUGCGAUACUUGAUGAUCAAAGAGAUAAAGGCCUCCUGACUCAUAUCCUCUACCAAUAAUCUUCUUCGUCACACGAUCCUGAAACAAGCAAUAACCAGAAAAGAACAUGACAACACAAUUUAGGUCAUGAGUAAGUUGACUAGUAGAAAUUAAAUUAAAGGAUAAGUUAGGCAAAUGUAACACAGAAGAGAGAAAAUGAUGGGGUAAGGUGAAUAGUGCCAGAGCCAAGAACAGAAGAUGUGGAGCCAUCGGCCAAUGUAACCGAUGGAAAAGGGGCAGGGGACAACGGUCUAGAAAAUAGGUGAGAAUUACCUGUCAUAUGAGCUGUGGCACCAGAGUCUAUGACCCAUUUGGUAGAUGAUGUAAGAAGACACUUUAUAUUACCUGGGGCAACAGUGGAUGCAAUCGGAGUAGAGGAAGAUGACGCUUGUAAUGACUCUUGGUAAUUCUGAAACUUAGCAAACUCAUCUGCCGAAAUAGUAACUGACGCCUCUGGUAUAUCACAUGUGGAGGCUAUCUGAGCAUGUUGAGAUCGUUGACUAUUCUUAUAUAGCAAUUUCCGACAAUCACGUUUCAUAUGGCCUGGCUUACGACAGUAGUUACAAACAAUCUCUACAGACUCUGGUUUUCGAUGAUCAGUACUAUUCCUCUGAGGUGCCCGAGGGUUAUUGUUCUUGCUAAAGAGAGCACUACUGGGUUGAGGAAUAGACACACUAGUCGGAGAGCUUUCAAUGCGAAGGACUCGAGUGAAGGCAUCAUCUAAUGAUGGAAUCUUGGAGUCAGAGAGAAUCUGUGUCUUUGCCAUUCCAAAUUCAGGUAAGAGUCCAUUCAGGAAAAUCAUAACAGCCAUCUUCUCUCGUUGAACUUGUUGAACUUUAACAUCAGGACUAAAAGGUAACAACAAGCCAACUCGGCAAUGAUCUUCUUAAGACGCAUAAAGUAGCUGGUGACAGACUCAGCUUUCUGUUCCGCACGAGAAAAUUGCAUACAAACUUCAAACAUUCUAUGCACUUGCUCUUUACCUGAGUAUAGAAAAUCCAAAAAUUCCAAAAGUUCUUUAACAGACUCACAGUGAUCAACCAAUCCAAUUAUCUCACUCUCAAUUGAAUUCUUGAUCUGAAGAUAUAAACGGGCAUCAUCACGAAGCCAAUCCUUCUUCUGCUUUGCAUCUUUUGGGGGAUCUUCAGUCAUAUGAUCAUCCAUAUCAGUACUUCUCAAAUAAAAUAAAAUUGUCCGACGCCAAUCGUAAUAAUUGGAUCCAUUUAACUUAUGUUCUGUGAUCUUAGAGGCCAAGGGAAUAACGUUGGAGACUACCAAAUUUUUUAUGUCGGCCAUAUUGAAGUCACACGUUGAUUGUAGUCCACUCGAACAAAGAGAAAAUCAAUCCAAACAGCUGCAAAAUUGGAAAAAGACACAAAACCAAUCGUGUAACCUUCGGUUUUCGUCAAACCCGAAUGUUAUUUGAUAGACCCAAUGGUACAGACUGGCAGGAAACAAUGGUUCGAGACAAGCCCAGAAGACAGAAGACAAAUCGGACUUCUCACGCGCUCUCACGCGCCUGUGUGGAUGAAGGUGACGAUGAUUCCGGCGGCGCGUGACGGUCACGCGCGGUGUUUUCCGGCGAUCGGCGAAGACAGACUUGGGCGGACGGAGGUGGUGCUUCUUAUGGUAUGGGCGGUGUCGACAAAUGGUCACCGGAAGGUAACCCAAACUUCAAACCUAAUGGAGGGCUCUGAUACCAUGUAAUUUAGAAUUCAGAAACGUAUCUGUCUUAUUAUUUGUUAAGUCAAAGCAAUGUUACAUAUUUAUAUAGAGAAUAAACUAAACCCUAGAGACUAUGUAAAAUUACAAUAAAGGACAUAUAUUACAUAAUAAUAUAUAUAUAUCAUAACAAGGGCCUCCCCUAUCCUUAUUCAUUGAUCGCUCUCUUUGCCGCGAAUCUCGGCAUGGUGGUUCUUCGCCUCGCAAUAUUCUUUGCUCCUCCUUCCUGGGCUUGAUUGGUACAUCAAGCAUAUCGGCAUUUUGCUUCUUCGGUGUGGUACAUAUAUCUAUCAAUGAAAAGAAAGUAAUAGAAUUCAUUCCCGCGUACUCGCAUAUUGAAUUGCGCCUUCGGACCAUCAAAGAAAGGUCCAGGGUCCGAAGUCCGCUGGAUUUAUCCGGAGUCCAGAGAAUUUAUCCGUAGGACCAUCCAUAUGGAGGGAAGUAGUCCGGAGGAUGUUGGAAUUUUUUGUCCUAAAACUCGUAGUUUAUAAAUCAUAUUCUGUUCAAUAAAGUUGUUAUUGAGAAAUUAAAUAUUAUAAUCUUAAAUCCAAUAAAUCAAGUUCCAAGGCUAUUUUUGAAUAAACUUGAACUUUAUGUGUAAACAUAAACGUGGAUCAAGUUCGAGUAUAUAGCCUAAAUAGUCUAUAGUAUAUGAAAUAAAGGUUGGGUGCCUUAUUUAGGGAAACUAUGGAUGCGGUCCACUUUGUGGUACAAACGAGGUGAUCCUAAUCGUUCAUGUAGAGACAUGAAAGUGAGGGCAUUCUAUGUAAAAUGUUUACAUAAGACUGAACCAUGAAUUAGUUUUUUUUACGUUAUAACACCGUUUACUGUUUAAAACUGACUAUCUCAACAUUUUGACUUUUUACUAAGAAAAGUCAAAGUUUGACUUUUGACUAGAAAUAUCUAAUGACCAUUUUACCCUUGGACUAAGUUAGUGGGAAAAUCCAACAUUUUGUUGGAUAAUCCCACUAACUCUUAGUGGGAUAUGUGGCUAUAUGAGAUAUAGACACCUAGCCCACUAAGUUCCACUAAUUGUUAGUGGAACAUUUGGUGUUGAGAUUUGGCAAAAUGAAUUGCAUGCAUUUUUGCAUGUAAUUAGGUUAUAAAUAGAGGUGUUUUCAAAUGUUGAAGAACUUUUGCCUCUUUUAUCAUUUUCAUCAUCUCAACCAAAUAAAAAAAAAGGAAACCUUCCAAUCCCAUUUUAUCUCCAUUACUUUCUACACCAAAAUUGGGUCCCACAACCCGGUUCUUUGUCUAGAGGAUAGCAGUUGAGUACUAGUGGUGGUCUCGGUUAGAAUUGGUAAGAAGAUAUCAAACCUUUUGAAAGCUUCAAAGGUAAUAUUUCCUAAAACCCUAAUUUGAUUAAUUUAUGGUUACAUGUUAAUUGUGGCAAUUAGGGUAGAAAUUCGAUUUUUUUUCCGCUGUGCAUGACUUAGUUCUAUCAGAGGAUUUAUUCGUAGGACCAUCCGUAAUUAACAGAAAUAGGACUAUCCAUUAUCCUCCGUCCGGAGUCCGCAGGAUACUUAUCCGUAGGACUAUCCGUAAUUAACCGAAGUAGUCCUCCAGAAUUUCUGUAAUUAACCGAACUUUGCACCUCUUGACUAUGAAUCAUAUAUAUUGAUUUUGACCGGAGCAAAGAUCAUUGCCCACGGAGCGGCGCAAAGAAUAUUGCGACCUGUGGAUUCAUUGAGGCGGUGAAGAAUUGCCAUUUUAUGAGCUUGUAAAACCCCUCCGGAGGAGAAGGAUAGGGGAGCAAGGUUCAAAGUGGUUUUCAAAGUCAGAGCUAUCCCUUAUUAUUGAGGGCUUUGACCACCUGGACACUUACCUACUCAGUCGCAAGGAUCAAAGAAUUUGAUUGACAAAGAAUAUUGCGAUUUUACCGAGUCCUUCGUCUCGCAAUAUUCUUUGCGCCUUCGAUGAGUCAGGUUAAUAUGGAUAAGUCCUUCGGACUGAUAGCGUCCAAAAAAUAGGCGAGGGCGGGCGGGCUAUAAGUAGGCCGUUUGCUAUUGCUAUAAGGGCUGCUCGCCUUUAUACGGCUUGGCUUCGCUAUCGCUCAUGACUUGUAUUUGUGGUCGGCCUAAAAAGUAGUCUUCCUACCAUAAAAAAAUGCCUAUUAUCUAGUUCGUUAAGCUUCGCCAAAAGCAAGAUGAGGGCGCUUUGCUUCGUAGACAAGGCUCGUCUAGUACUUGACUUACGAGUUCGUGUAGGACUUCCCCCUCUCUCUAAAGGGGCUUAUGCACAGAACUCCUUGUCUACUAAAGAAGCGUUCGAGCGAGCGAGUUCAGCCUGAAAUUGAGUGGUCUCCCUCCUUUUCCCUCACUGAGAUAUUAUGUCUUUCAUUUCCACUUAAGCUUCCCCGCUUUGAGGGAUUAAUUGAUUGGAUACCCGAGAACCAUAAUCUUUCCUAGGAACUGCUUCUACGACGAUAGGUGUAAAGGCAUGAUUAGUUCCACAAAUCUCACUGCACUGACCAUAGUAAACUCCUUCUCAUUGUACCAAAAUGGAGAUCUGAUUUAAACGACCAGGUACAACAUCACAUUUGACACUUGAGGAAGGUACAACCCAACUAUGAGGUAGAUCAGCAGGUGUUACAAUAAUACGUAGAUGAGUUUUGGCUGGUAGAACCACUCUAUUGUCCACUUCUAAUAAACGUGAUUGACCCAAUUCUAGAUCAUCUUCUGGAAUCGUAUAACUGUCAAAAGUGAGUGACUGUUCAUCGGAACUGUUAUAGUCAGAAUACUCAUAAGUCCGAUACCAUUGAUGUCCAAUAGCUUUGAUAGUCAUGGCUGGAUCUACUACUACCUCGUCCAUUGAGUAUAAGAGAGCAAAGGAUGAUAUAGCAAUGAACACCGGAAUGAUACUAGGAAAAAUGGUCCAAAGAAUCUCGAUAGUAGUUCCAUGAACUAUCCUUUGCGGUAUUUUCUUUUUAGAAUAGUGGAAAUGCCAUAAAGCGCGAACCAAAAUCCGUGAUACGAAAACAAAAAUCAAAAUGAGGAAGAAAAAGAUAUCGUGAUGUAUGUCUAUUAUUCCUUGCAUCAUAGGUGUUGCUGUGUCUUGAGAUCCUAAUUGCCAUGGUUCCGCUGCAUCACAAGGAGCAAUUGUGAGGAAUAGCCAUUUGAGAACAAUCAUUUUCUUUGGUUUAUUCUUUGACUGCUCUGCUCCCCCCCCCAAAAAAAGAGAGACUUGUUCUUGCUCUCCCAAUGAAGGAAGACGGAAAUCGCCGGUUGGGUUGGUCCAACCAAGAAAGGCAUGGGAUGGGCAUUGCUUGGGCCGAGUUAAGUAUGGCUACCUAUUACUCCUCACUGCACACUUGAAAUAUCUCUUGAUACUCCCCCCUCUUUCUUACAACUAGUUGCUGCAUGCUAUCGGAUCUCGAGCAAUGGGAGGUUACAAUUGAGAAUCCACACUCUCAUUACAUUACAUUUUGAUGUCGAAAAGGUCUUUUGGGCAAUGAGCAUUCCUUAUGGGCGUAUCCGUUCUCUAUUUAGAGAAAUUCUUAGAGCGGUGCAGUUUAUGCAUGGCGAAAGGGAGCAUUGGAAGGGUCUUAGCUCCAGAAUAUGAAGACGAAUGAAUAAGGAAGAUCAGAUUCAAGGAAUAAGAGGACAAAGGCUCGAUAGGAGGAAAUGAAUAAGGGGUCCGACGGAGCCUUCGGAGUACUAUAAAGAGGAAAGCCUAGACUGAUCGAUGUUCUUGGUAGGAACAUCCAUAAAUCAGGGGAGGGAGAUCGAGUUUCAAACCUUUAUACACAAAACUGAAACUCAAAAUUCACUUCCUUCCUUCCGCAAGGCCGAUAUCUUUCAUAGCAGGCAAGGAUGAGUCCAUUAGGUUCUUCGAUUGAUUCGGAAAAGAAAUGAGAGACAAGAAAAGAUCUUUGAUGGAGAUGAAAAGGAAGAAUCUCAAAUAGACCAAGAUCCAAUUUCGGGUCAUUUCUUGGUGAACAUGAUCUGCCAUAAUCUCUUCGAUCCCUGAAUUUAUGUGCCAGAAUAAAGAGAGAUUUGGUAGGAAAGUGGAAGAGACCUUGUGGUAUAUAAUAAUGAGAGGGAGUGGGAAAGCUGCUGUAAUUCUUUGGAAAAGCCCGGUUCUCUUUGUCUUCGAGCUUGAAUUCCUCAAUCCACUCUUUCGUUCUUUCAUAUACCUCCCCACCAAUAGAUAGAGACAAAUAGGAAUAACCGAACCACGUCUACAAAAUGCCAGUACCAUGCAGCUGCUUCAAAGCCAACGUGAUGCUCCUUGGUCAGAUGACCAAGAUAUUGGCGAAUACCACAUACGAUCAAGAAAAGAGUACCUAUAAUCACAUGAAAACCAUGAAAGCUAGUUGCUAAGAAAAAGGUAGAACCAUAAAUACUAUCAGAAAUAGUGAAGGGUGCUUGAUAAUAUUCCAUUCCUUGAAAGCUUGUGAAUACUAGAGCCAGUGAAACGGUAGCUACUAAAGCGUAAACAACUCGUUUUUCCUUCCCCGCGAGUAUAGCAUGAUGAGCCCAAGUUACGGCUGCUCCGGAUGAAAGGAGAAUAGGGGUAUUAAGAAAAGGGAUUUCCCGAGGAUCUAAAACCCCAAUCCCUUUUGGGGGCCAAAUACCUCCGAUCUCUACCGUAGGUGCCAAAGAAGAAUGAGAAGAAGCCCGAAAAAAAGCAAAAAGGAACAUAACCUCCGAUACGAUAAAGAGAAUAAAACCAUAUCGAAGUCCUAAUUGUACGACUUUGGUAUGAUGUCCUUCCAACGUGGAUUCACGUAGAACAUCGCGCCACCAUACGAACAUGGUAUAUAGGAGAAAUAUGAGGCCCAAACUGAGAAGUCUUGCACCCCCUUGAAAUGAGUGCAUGUACAUCACACCUCCUACGAUGGUUGCCAAAUGAUAAGAAUGCCUUUGAGAUUCAAUCACAAACCACUUUGCCUCGGUUGUAUGUAAACCCCCCCUUCACCCCCACCCGCUAAAGUGGUAAAGAAGGGCUCUUUGGGGUCUCAUUUUCUUUCUAUCUGACAGGACUAAAAAAUAGGAAGGGAUGGUUCUUUCAUUGCAUUGAUAGAAGUCUAACUAGAAAAAGAUCUUGUUGCUUUGAUCGAGCCCUAGGCUUUCCUUGGAUAGAUCCCUCUAUAUUCCAACUGAUUUAUGGCGUAGAAGGCGGGAAUAGGAAUCACUCAUAUUGCAUUGAGCCUUAACAGUCCGGAGGACUAUCCCGCUCCGUGGGAUUCUUUUAGCCUCACAAUAUUCUUUGCACCUAUCCAUCCACGCAAUAUUCUUUGCACCUUCGCUCCAAAUAAAGUAAUAGCCGCAACUCAAUUCAUUCAGCCUUCGCCUAGAAAUUCACUUUGCGACCCACUCCGUAAGCCCACUACACGAGAAGAAAGAAUAUCCUUAGCUAUUUAUCUUUAUUAUCUCUUCUCUGAGAAUAUCCUCUUAUUCUACUAUUAGAAGAAUAUCCUACUUUCAGUUUCUAGUCAAAGAAAGGUCCAGGCGCAGGCGCAAAGAAUAUUGCGAGGUGCAGUCUAAUGGAUAGGACUGAGGGCUCGACUGAAAGGAGAGAAGGCGCAAUGAAAUAUGCGAGGUCCAUAUUCCGACUGAGGAACUGAAACUUCCGCGUAGUGCUUCCCUUGUUCAUUGAUAGUAAUCCUGAAGUUUCUUCUUGGCAUCAAAAUAGAUCAAUGAAAGAGGACUAAAAAUAAGACGAAAGUACUUAUGACGGCUUUCCUUCCCAACAAAUCUUCGUUCUUAGUUAUUUGAUUCCACUUUCAAACUUUCUGGGAGUUGUCUUCUCCUAGGCUUUCUUCUUUCUGGCAGUCUUCUGCCUUGCCGUAGGGAGUAGGUUCAGGAGAACCAUAACCAUAAAUCAGAGAGACGGAGGCAUCAAUCACGCAAUAUUCUUUGCACCUCUUCCUUUAAGCUAUAUUUUUUAGGCUCCGGAGGCUCAAAGACAGGGAUAUUGUUGAAUACUAUUAGUUCGAGUCGCAGAGAGCAAAGAAUUUUCUCUUAAUGGAACUUAGCGCGGGUUAAUAUGGAUAGGACUGAGGUCUUAAGACUCCUAACUAUUAAUGGAAAGGACCCACGGAGCGGUGCAAAGAAUAUAUAGAAGGGCAGACAGGUCCGGAGGACCUGUCUGUCCUUCGGUCUUAAUACUCCUAACGUCGAAUAAGAAGCUGGAGGCUGGGUCCAGGUGCAAAGAAUAUUGUGUCCAUUAGAUCCAUUGAAUUAGGCGAAGGAUUUUAUCAAGCUUAGCUUUCUGGAUUCUUCGGCGGAGUGGGGCUUUCUCUAGUAGGUCUGGAGGCUCAAAGAAUGAUCAAAGGCUCCGAACCAUAAAGAAGAGAGUCGGAGGACAUCCAUUGACUUUUUCUUCCUUUCACUUCUAACUUCAAACCUUUCAUAUUCAACCUUGAAAAUAAAGGAGGGAGCGGACUACGGAGGCCAUAAGUUUGAGUUCCUCAGAUGUAUAAAAACAAGUCCUCCGGACGACCUAUCCACUGAAAGUAGCUACGUAGUCUUGUCUCCUUCCCCGCGUAGUGGGCAUUGACUUCUUCAUUGAUUUUCUUCUAUCUCCCACGUAGCGGUUGAAUAUGAAAGGAAGCCCACAGAGCUGAAGAUGGAGCGGGAUAAUAAAGAAGAAAGCUCAAAAGGAGGGAGCGGACCUCAAUGAACAAGGGGAGGACUCGUUUUCAUCCUUAUGGAAGAAAAAUCUCUUUUUUUUAUCUAAAAGACGUAGAAGGAGGCUCAAUGUCUAAUCUUUCUCUCAAAUCAAUAUCCCCAGUGCAAAUAUUCCAGCAAUAUUCUCAAUAUGAAAAGAGCCUUUCUUCUUUUCUUAGAUAAAUGCGCUUCGUAGAUUAUGCUGAAGGAGGAGUGGGCCAUGAUCUUUGCUCCUUAAUUUCCCUAAUGGAUAGUCAUCUGGACCUUUCUUUUUAGUUCUUUGCGCUCGUCAACGCAUAUUUCAUUGCGCCUUCGCCUUCAAUGAAAUCCAUAAAUAAAUAAGGGUAGAUUUCAGACUCAAGAGGAGGGUUCCUUAUCAAUAUCAAUGAGACGGAUAGGCUUUCUUUUACAUUCCACAGGUCCGAAGGACUAUCCAUAUUAACAUGUCUGUCCUUCGCCUAACUAGUUCAUAUAGACCUUUGUUUUUCUUCCGCAGUCACUAAUAUGGAUAGUCCGGAGGACCUCCUUCAGCAUAAUCUAUGAAUGAUCGGAGCAAAGAAUAUUGCGGAAAAGAAGAAAGGAGUGCAAGCGAAAAAUAAUGGAUUGAAUAGUCCUUCGGACGAACUACCGCACUUGGGGGAUAUUGUUGAGAAAGAAUAUUGAAAAAGAAUGAUCGAAGAAUAUUGAAAAAGGACGGAGGAUAGGCUUUCUUUGAACAAUGUGGAUGUAUCAAAGAUUCCACAGGUUAAUAUGGUAGAUUUCAGACUAGUCCUUCACCUUGGAUCUGGGGACUAUUCUCUGUUCUAAUAGACAUAGAGGAGAGGUUCAAAGAAUAUUGAGAAUACUCGUGCAAGCGCAAUCAAUGAACAAGGUGAAAAGAAUAAAAAAAAGGCGGUCGAUGAUCAGGAAGAAAAAGUCAAAAGUCUAUCCCAUCUUCUUCGUUAGGCGCAAAGAAGAAAAACAAGGUGCAAAGAUCUAUGGCCCAAUUAUAAGGGGUCCAGAUGCACCAUAAGACUGGUCCGAAGGACUAUCCAUAUUAACCGGAGUCUUCAACAAGAUUUCCAACCCUGAAUAUUAAGCUACUGAGGCCCAAUAUUGCGAAGGAAGAACUGCGCCAUAAGACAGGUCCGAAGGACUAUCCAUUAGGGAAUGAGACGGAGGUAACGUUUGGUUUUUUGGAAAACUUGUUGGUCGCGGAUUAGUGCGUUUUUUUUGGAAAGUAACAAUUCUCUUCAGUUUGGUUUCAGAAAACUUGUUGGUCACGGAUUAGUGCGUUCUGCGCCGCCUGGUGUCACGAACAUAUUUUUCCAAAGUGUGUUUACCUUUGGUUAUAUGCUCCGAUUACCCCCAGUUUAUCUCAUCUUUAGUUUGCAUAACUAGUUUAGCUGAUUGCUUUUCAUUCUAGGUCAUAAAGCUUGGGUGUGACGUUUCGGCAUUUUCAUAUGCAAGCCUGCCAGAGAGGAAAAUGUUCAAAAUGUACUAUAGGGGAGGCAUACCAGUUGAAUCCCCGCCCAAGCAUUAGUUGUACUCUUUGCAAGCAACCCUUUUUCCUUGCAAUUGACAGUCUUUAAUGCUUAUUGUAACGUCUAUUUCAAUGUAUUUCUUUCUUUCCCGUGUUUUAUAAAUAAAAUGUCCCUAAAACGCAAACGAAGGUUACGACAUACAUCGACGUUACCCACAACUCUUGGAUAUUGAUCGACUGACUUGUUCAUCGAGUUAGAACAAGUGCCGCACAAUCGUCCGUCUCGAGGUUGAAACGCUACGAUUGUGACAAGUGGUAUCAGAGCCAAAGUUGGCUGAGUGACAGUUUUGACAAAAAUAAAAUGUCGACUGCAAAACGAGCGAGCAAGACCCAUGAAGAACGGUUGGUGGGGAUCGAAGUGCAGAUGCUCCACCUGAUGGAAGUUCCUGAUUCCAUCCGGUUCUUGGAAUAGCGGCUUGAGGAUAUUGCCAAGAAAGCUGAUGGCAUUGAAGCCGUGUCCGGUCGCCUUGACGGACUACCCAUCCAAGAGUUACUGACUAGAGUCGACACUCUAGAGUCCCGAGUUAUGAGAACGGGAAAUGUCACCUACGAGCGUGGGGACAGUUCAUCGGGCUCUGUUGCCCAGAUGGAAGAACGAGUUAUGGAGCUUGAUAACUCGCAAAAGAACAUGUUGGAGAUGAUCAGCGCAUGACAAAGGAUUUUCGAGCAACCCUCGAUGUCGUGAGGAAUGAGCUCGCAGAGGUAAGCACGAGGGUGAACCUUACUAUGCGAGCACUAGAAAAUCAGGCUCUAGCUGGAGGAGCCAUUCCUGUGGGCAGAAUCAAGAUUCCUGAGCCCAAGCCCUUCUGUGGGGCGAGAGAUGCCAAGGCGUUGGAAAACUUCAUCUUUGAUGUCGAGCAGUAUUUCAAAGCCACGAACACAAUUACUGAAGAGGCCAAGGUGACGUUGGCAACCAUGCAUCUGUCAGAAGAUGCGAAGUUAUGGUGGAGGUCCCGAUACAUGGACAUUCAAGAAGGGCAUUGCACAAUCGACACGUGGGAUGCCCUAAAAGGAGAACUCCGUUCGCAAUUUUCCCUGAGAAUGUCGAAAUUCUGGUCCGACGGAAGCUGCGUGAAUUGAAGCACACGGGGAACAUUCGGGACUACGUGAAACAGAUUGCGGGGGUAAUGUUGGAUAUACGCGACAUGAUCGAAAAAGAUAAAAUAUUCAGCUUUGUUGAAGGGUUGAAGCCAUGGGCAAGGACUAAGCUAUACGAGCAGAAAGUCCAAGACCUCGUGUCAGCCUAUGCAACAGCUGAACGUUUGUUUGAUCUGUCUAAUGACGUUCAAGAGACAAGACAUCAUUGAAGCUCUUCACCUGGAAGAGACAGAAACAGCCGACUGAAUUCUCCCGAAGCUGUCAGUAGAAAUAAAAGUCCCGGCAGAGACCGCAAGCCCUUCCAGUCAAAUACGGGGAACACCAGGCAAAGGCCCACUAGUCAAAGGACCUCCCACACUCCUAUCAGUUGCUACAUUUGUAACAGGCCACAUCGGACAAGGGAAUGUCCGGAUAAAGCGGCCUUCUACGCCUUCCAGGCCUCUCUGGCUACAGACUUAGGUGACAAGUUGGGUCAACCAGAGAAUGAAGGUGGGUAGGUGGAGGAAGUCCAAAACGUUAGAGUAGGGGCCAUAAGACUCUUGUCGUUCCUUCAGAAUAAAGCAGGGGAGACAAGUGGUCGUACAAAAGGGGGCCUAAUAUAUGUGGACACCUGGAUCAACCGAAGGCAUGCAAAGAGCACUAUGGUUGACUUCAGUGCAACCCAUAAUUUUAUAACGGUGGCGGAAGCCAGACGAUUGAACCUUCACUAGAAGAAGGAUACAGGAAAGAUGAAGGCCGUAAAUUCUACAGCUUUACCCGUCGUCGGAGUAGUGAAACGAGCGGUGAUACAGUUGGAAAGAUGGAACGGCCUUGUUGACUUUGUGGUUGUGGGCAUGGAUGACUUUGAUGUAGUUCUCGGAAUGGAAUUCCUUCUUGAACAUCAAGUGAUCAUGAUGCCUGCAGCCAAAUGUCGGUGAUCACGGGAUCUACCCCCACCGUUAUGCAGAUACCCCCACCAUUAUGCAGAUAGAACUCCGGCAACCCAAAGGAUUGAGAAUGGUCUCGGCCAUGCAACUGAGGGAGGGCCAUAUUCAGGAAGACACAAGGCGUGUCGUGGAGAGACGUUGUGAUGGGAAACAGGAUAGUUUGCCCAUGUCAGAAUCGCCUACGAGAAAUGAUCAUCGUAUGGCGCAAUCAAAAUCAUCUGGACUCAGGAGACAGUCAAGGAGACUGUCAGGUGCAGGAUCCACUAGACCUGCGAGAGAUCCGUAUCAAGCACAAGACUUCUUACGGAAGGAAGAGAAUGGACAAUUGUGUGUCAACAACCGUGUCCUAAAGCAAGCCCCGAGGAGAGGGCCAACUUUUGAGUCCGUGAGUGGGACUCAGCCUGUUGAAGCUUACGCUAAGGCAUAUGGUCCUGUGUCAGGUGGCAUCCUAAUGCAGAAUGGACACCCUGUCAAAGCUGAGAGUCAGAAACAAAGUGCCGCAGAAGGUAGUUAUACGAUGUUUGGAAAAGGAAUGCUGACCACGAUACGUAGUCUGAAGGAUGGAAGACAACAUUCCCAGGGGUCUACACAUGGAAGAGAGACGAACAACAUUGCGACCAACCGCUUUGAUACUCGGCCGAAGUGGGCUUUGAGUCAAGAAAAGUGGCAGAGGGACGUGUCAAGGGAAUCCUUGCAGAAAAACUCUGUCAUUGAAGUUGAUGUAAGUCUGGCGGAGACCAGUCAGGUGGAAGAAAAGAAUGGAGUUCAAUUGUGGAAGCUAACCCAAUCUUAUGUUAAUGCUGCAAUGAGUUCGUCAAUGGAUGGAAACCAGUUUGUGGGUGUUUGUGGCGGACAUUCUGUACAGUCCCGCCUUGUUGGUCCCUCCUAUGUUGGUAAGAAUCCUCAAGCUUGCAACAGUACCAAGAGGUGGAAGCUGGAGUCAGACAUCGUUCGGACCGAUCGAGAGGAAGCCUCGAAGUGGCCAGAAAAGUGGGCAGAUAAGAAGCAUCGCCUCCGUGAUUCCCGUGGGGAGACCAGGUCAUCGUCAAACGGCGAUCUGAACUGACUCCGUUUUUGAAGAAGACUUCAAGAUCACCGCCUCAUGAGAGAACGCGAGGGACAAACAGAAGUUCAAGAAGUCCUUGCUAAAGAAGCAAGGAAAGAAGAAGAAGACCCAUGGGGGAUACACAAGUUCGUGGUGAAGCAGAGGAGCCUCCUCAUGGAAGAAGCCUGUGGAAGACGUACCAAGACUGUGAAGCGUGGAGGUAGAAGAUCGAAGGAUUCCAGCUUUGCCAGUCGACGGGGACGUCAACUGUUUAAGUGGGGAGUGUGUCACGGACAUAUUUUUCCAAAGUGUGUUUACCUUUGGUUAUAUGCUCCGAUUACCCCUAGUUUAUCUCAUCUUUAGUUUGCAUAACUAGUUUAGCUGUUUGCUUUUCAUUCUAGGUCAUAAAGCCUUGGUGUGCGUUUCGACAUUUUCAUAUGCAAGCCUGCCAUAGAGGAAAAUGUUCAAAAUGUACUAUAGGGGAGGCAUACCAGUUGAAUCCCCGCCCAAGCAUUAGUUAUACUCUUUGCAAGCAACCCUUUUUCCUUGCAAUUGACAGUCUUUAAUGCUUAUUUUAACGUCUAUUUCAAUGUAUUUCUUUCUUUCCCGCGUUUUAUAAACAAAAUUUCCCUAAAACGCAAACGAAGGUUACGACAUACAUCGACGUUACCCACAACUCUUGGAUAUUGAUCGGCUUACUUGUUCAUCGGUUAGAACAAGUGUCGCACAAUCGUCCGUCUCGAGGUUGAAACGCUACGAUUGUGACACCGACGGCCACAUAGAAUUGAGAAAAGCCUAUGGUUGAGGCAGCAUUAAUUUAUGAAACUUUACACGUGGGAAGGGAUGACUCUUUCUAUUCAAACCUGUAAACAUAGAAGACCGCCUCAAUGAACAAGGGAUCAUUCACAUAGAAUAAAUAUGAACAACGAGAAAGGGAAUAUAAGGUUUGAAUUCAGAGGAAAGCCUAGCUUGAAUGAACAAGGUGAAAAGAAUAUUGACAGCUGCACUUACGAGUCUUUCAGUUACCUUUCUGCCUCUUUAAAGAGAGUUCAAGGUUUUCUAUUAUCGGAAGAAUCAGAAUAAGAAGAAAAUAGAGGAAGACAGAGAGAAGAGAGCUCAGGAGGCGCAAUGAAAUAUGCGUGAGAAGCGCAUUUCCUUAGUGGAAUACUUUGAUAGCGGAAUAAGAAGUCGGAGGCUCGGUCAAGACGAUCUUUUGAUCUAUUCUAAUGGUCUCUAAUGGAUAGUCCUUCGUUUUAGAGUCCUACAGAUAAAUCCUCCGGACUGGUCCGAAGGCUAGGUUCAUACGGAUAGUCAGGAGGACGGUUAGUUGGAGCCUUGUUUUUCGAAAUCUUCUUUGAGCCUCAGUCGUCUCAUUGAUAAGGACAUCUUUGCAAAUGAAGAGCGGGAGGUGCAAAGUGCGGCUAUUACUUUGAAAAGAAUAGGAGCUCCGCGGUUUGAAUUGAAUAAAAAGGAUAGGCUGAAAUUCAAAGUGAAUAAGAGGAUAUUUUCAGAUAUAAUAUCUAAAGUCAAUGAACAGGGGCUCCUAACCUCUGAUUUAUGGGGAGCCUACUACGUCCAUUAGUUCCGAACUUGGCUCCACUCCUAGUAGUUCGAACUUGGCUUUGCUCCUUCGCUUUUUCUCUUAUUGAUCUCUCUUGUAAUGCUUUCUACUAAGAAUCAAGAAAGCGCAACUUCUAUUUUGUCCGAACGACCUUGAUUAAAAAACGAUGCUUCCUUGGUCGUGUAGAACAUGGAUUAGCAUUAUUUCAUUCCUACAAGCGAUCCCCCAUCCAGGAUUGGAAGAAGUGCUAUAUGAGGACUUUGAGAUCAAAUAGAAUAUAUUUCUUUCAAGACCUCGUGAGCCACUUAUUUCUCUGAAACAAGAGAGAAAAGUGAUUUUCCUCCUUUUUCUCAAUAAGUCGACGACCUUACACCAUUGGGAUACUUCUUCUUUGAAACUAGAGUACAUAUAGGAUACACCGGUGCUAAAACCUUUUCUCAAAAGAUCUUCCAAACUGUUGGGGUCCUUGCUCCGUAUGUUCUUCCCCCGGUGUGAAAGCAGUUGGUUCCAUAGUUUGAGAAUUCUACUACUGAUCCCAAGUACUCCAUCUCCAUCAUUGCAUAUGGGAAUAUAGAAAAGUCAAGAAGAAAAGGCAUGAGCAGAAGAAUUGUGUGAAAUAAGUCAAUUUAUCCAAUUGAGGCAUUCUUUCUUUUUCUUAAGAAAAUUCCCUCUAGACAUAAAUCCUUUCUGUACGAGUAGUGAAGAACUAUAGAGAGUAGUGGUUGGUUGUUGACCAACAAAAAGCAUGGGAGAAAGAAAGAUGUUGGCAAGGAAGCAUCAAAAUAGAUCAAUGAAAGAGGCUCAAAGAAUGAUCGAGGACUAUUUUAGUCCGACUAGAAACUAGGGAAACUAAAGACUAACGAAAUCUAGAUGAGAAUCCGUACAAUUAGUCUCGAGAAAAAGAAGAAAGCAAUAAAAAAAGUGAAGACAGAAAAUGAACCGAAAAUCUUCUUCUCUCAUAUUGAAUUCAUCCUUCUACGCAUCUCCAUGGGCUCGACUGAGAGUGGAGGAGAGGACGGGAAGAAUGAGAAAAAUAGUAAGGCGAGAAGACAGGUUCGAAGGACUAUCCAUCAGGGAGUUUGGACCCCGUAGUUAGGAGCAAAGAAUAUUGCGAAAGAGUCAUAAUAGGUACAAAUCUUCUUAUAGAUUAUGUUGAAGGAGGCGGCGCAAUUCAAUAUGCGAAAGUCAUGAUCCCUUUAAAGCAGACGUUAGGCGCAAAGAAAGAAGCUCAUUAACGAGAAUGAAAGAAUAAUUCACUCAUUAACGAGAAUGAAAGAAUAAUUCUGAUUUCAUCACCUUGUUUUUACGGAGUUCAAUACUAGAUUGAAGACGGAGGGAAAUCCCAGAUUUUGCUAGGUUUUGGGCCUAUAAAGUAGCAAGAAAUCAUGAAAAAUCAGUCAAAAUUAGACAAUUAUCGUAGCAUAUCAAUAUGAGAAAAAGUAUGAAAAAGAAGCAAAAAAGUCGGGAAAUAGCAAUUCAAGAAGAAAGCCUAGGACAGGGAAAAGAAAUGAACACUUCUAGUUUGAGUUUAUGGUCCGGAUACUGACAGGUCUAUUCUUUAUUCCGCUCCUGAAUAUGGAUAAUCCUACUUCGGUUAAUUACGGAUAGUCCUCCUUCGGUUAAUUACGGAUGGUCCUACGGAUAAAUCCUCCAGACUACUUCCUUCCAUAUGGAUGGUCCUACUUCGGUUAAUUACGGAUGGUCCUACUUCCAUAUGGAUAGUCCUACGGAUAAGAAUCCUGCGGACUCCGGACUACUUUGGUUAAUUACGGAUGGUCCUACGGAUAAAUCCUCCGGACUCCGGAUAAAUCCUGCGGACUCCGGACGUACGACGUAGGAUAAAUCACCUGGACCUUUCUUUGGCACUACGGACUACUUCGGUUAAUUACGGAUGGUCCUACGAAUAAAUCCUCCAGACUCCGGGUCGUAAGACGUAGGAGAAAUUCCUGCGGACUCCUUCCUUCCAUAUGGAUGGUCCUACGGAUAAAUCCUCCAGACUACUUCAAUUAAUUACGGAUGGUCCUACUUCCAUAUGGAUAGUCCUACUUCAAAUGGAUAGUCCUCCGGAUAAAUCCUGCGGACGUAGGACCCUGGACCUUUCUUUCUUUAAUGGAUAGUCCUCCGGAUAAAUCCUGCGGACGUAGGACCCUGGACCUUUCUUUGGCACUCCGGACGGAUAAAGAAAGGAUAAAUAAAGGCGCAAAGAAUAUUGCGAAGCGAAGCGCAUUUAUCUAAGAAAAGAAGAAAGGAUAAAUAAAGGCGCAAAGAAUAUUGCGAGAGCGGGAAUUACCUUUUCUCUUCGGGUUAGCUAAGAGUUGCCGGAGGCUUGAAGUCGGAUAAUUACUUUUACUUAAAGGUUUCACAAACCUGCAAAAUCUUCUCCAAAUUAGCGUUAGCGUUCUGAGCUAGCCAAGCAGUAUAUUUAAAAUAUAGAAAGAAGAAAAAUCCAUGCAAUCUAAGUACACUAAGAACCUACAGCAUCGUCACCGCUGCGUGGGAAGGUUAAUUCUUCUAACUCUGGUAUUAUCGUUGAACAAGCAGUUCACAUCCGACUGCCCGCGUAGUGGGGGAAGCUCGCUCGCUAACUUUGCACUUCGGCCAAAAUGCCGAAAAAAGGCUAAGGCCGAAGGAGGUCUGACUCCUUCGCUCAAGGAAGAAUUGCCCGAUUGGAUAUAUAUCUUGGUGCGGAGAGAGGAAAGGAUCACGGAAGCCUCAGUCUCAGUACGAAAGGGGCAAAAAGCUGGAAAAAGCAUACUGGCUUCACCUUGCCCUAGGAUGGGGUCCGCCGGAUCUUUUAAGGCAUAGGCUUAAUGCUGAGACGCACGGGGAUAUCCGGUCCAGGAUGGAUAUUCAAGACAAGGACGAAGGCUCUCCGUCACGCAAGAUGAUUACAAGUCUUAGGAGUGAACUUCCGCUUUACCCCUUCCGGUAUCAGGAAGCGAAGGGCAGAGAAAGCGAGCGAGAAAACAUAAAUCAAGGCGGUCGAUGACUUAAAAUAGGCAAAAAGAAAAGACAGAAAGCCUACGGGUUUCUCGGUUUACCCUUCUUUUAGGAUAGAAAAAGGCACUGCCUGUGUGACCACUACAAGCGGACGUGACGAGCGACGCAGGGCCACCCACGACCGCUAGCAAUACGAGGUAAAGCGGCCAGAAAGCAUACCAUAGGAUGCGUCCUGAGGGCAUUCACAUAAACAUUCUUCGAAUUGUUCACAUUCGGCGGGAUGUUCUUAGCCUUGUCUCCAGGUGAAUAAUUGAAUCGGCACCGGCGAUCGGACCUAUUGCAGCCUUCGGUUGACUGGUGGCAUUCGAUGGUAUGCUUGAGGCCUUCCCAACCCGCUCCGUGUAAAAGAGGUAGAAGGAGGCUCAAAGAAUUAUCGAAGAGCAAGACGAAAGAAAAUAGCGACUUCCAGUCGGUGAUGGGAAAUCUCAAUGUUAUCGCAGAUUCAAAGGCGCAAAGAAUAUUGCAUUGAGGCUCGACUGAAAGGAGAGGCGAAUUUGAGAAGAAAGAACUAUAUCGGCUAAAUACUCAACUGCCUCAGACGUCACUGGGACAAGAGCCGGAGAUUCCGAAACCUCUCGCAGCUUCUUUGCUUCCUCUGGUCUCGAUAUUUGAACCGCCUCAAUAAACAAUAAAUAAGGGUCCAAAAAAUCAAGGUCAUCUUCA